rnacentral:lncRNA from 1 species
UCUUUGAAUAUCUUCAUAUUCAUUUAGUCACGUUUGCCUCUUAUGCUGGCAUUUACGUAUUUGUCCAUUUCUUAGCGAGGUUGGUAUAUUGUACAUGAUUAACUUACCAAAAACUGCCUUCCCAUUAUGCAAACCGCAUAUGGUUGAAUAAUUGACCCUUCCUAUUCACAAAUUCUCACAUAAUUCCAUGGCUAAAAUUUAAUUCGGCCGCCAUGAAUGGAAACAAAUACUACCAUGGUCAAAAUUUUGCAUUUUAUACACAUUUAAAAUUUAAAUUUUAGCCUGAUUUCAUUGAUUAAUACGCAAAGCUGCAUGUCUAUUCUUCAUAUGUAAGCUAGUAGAGUUUCAUUUGUACAUGACUAGAUGUUAUAAUUCUGUACAUAGCUAGCAAGCCAAGCAAGGCCAGCCUGCCAUGGAUACAGCACUGGUGCGGAGCACCACUUUGCGGUUGAGCCACCGUCGCGCCCACGGCUACGAGCCCUUGAAUCAAGCUAGUGAUCAUGCUUGGAGAAGAAAGGAUGGUGAUAAUGGUAGCCAGAGAACAUUUUCUAGGCCAAGGAGGAGUGACAAGGAGCAGUAUAGCCCUUAUAGCAUGGCGGAUUCUUUUGGCCAGAGAGCAUUUCCUAGGCCAAGGAGUCAAAAGCAGCAGCACAGGCAGAGUCCUGUGAUGAUGAACUAUUCUUUUAGUUAUAGACGUAAAAGGGCUAGGCAAAGGCAGAUUUUUCUCCGAACAUACAAGUUGGGAUCCAUGGAUUCUUCACGCAAAUCUGGGGUGCGGAAGCUGAAGAAGUUUGUAGUCAAGGUGAAAACGGUUGUAGUUUCGGUAUUGUCGUUCAUGCGAGCUGAUACUCUGAAAUCUUGCAAUUCUGGAUCGGCCAUUUGUGCAUCCUCUCCUUCAAGAAUUGCAAGGUUUUGUUGAAGUUUCAUUAAUCAACUAUUUAUUUGGGUGAAAAGACAGAGAUGUCCAAUUCUCUUUUCCUGUUCAUUUUCAAAAUUUGCAAGUCAGUUUAGAAGUCCUUUUCCUUUUUUUUUUUUGGUUGCUUUUCUUUGUAUUUUUAGGGUUUUUAGGUCAUAAGGCCUCAAUAUGCUUUGGUCUAGUAAUGUAGUUCUAUUUCCUGUUGGAUGGCAUGUUGAAUCAUAUUUGGGAAAUUGCUUUUGAAUCUCCAAUUUGGUAGGUUAAGAUAGGAGUAGUAGUCAGAAGAAAAGGUUUUAAAAAAAAAAUGUUAUGGGCUGUAGACCGAAUGUUUGUCUUUGACAAGAAUAUAUAUCAGGAAGAAUAAAUUCAAAAGAAACCCUGUAAUUGAUCAGUAUUCCCAUUUCCUGUUGCAUGGAUUUAGAGAAGACCUUGUGAUGAAAAUGCUCCAAAAAAAAAAAAAAGGCUGGAUAAGCAAAAUCAUCGUUUCUUGUAGAUUUGGUCAAGAUCAUCUGAGGAAUUUAUGAAUGAGUAAAGUUUAACUGAUAAGAGGCGGCGCAAGAAAUGCCAAAUGUUGUUGAUCAAUCUCUCUAAAAAUAGCCAAACUAAUGUAGCAUAGUGCAUUGAUCUCGGGUUAUCCGUCUUCAUGUCUUCUUUUGGACAUUAAGGGGUCUAGACAAAAGCAUGAGAGGAAAAACAAGAGCCUUUCUUUCUCUCAGUGCUUUUGGUGGUUCUCCGAAUUUGAUGGAUUUGGCUCCAAGAAGCCUACACGCUGCCUGGUUGAUGCCAUAUCAUCCUCCACAAUGAAUGCACCUCCACCACCGCCUGCCUAUGUCAUGUUGGACGGUCAGGGAAAGAAAAAUGGCAACUACGGCCCGCCUCCUUCUGGUCGCCGAAAUGUACCCCGGUAUAACUCCGACUACUACCCAAAAAAAUCAGGUGGAAGUAGUUGCCUGAGGUGCAUUUGCUGUUGCUAUUGCAUUCUCUUCCUCCUGAUCUUCAUCGUCUCCGUCCUGGCUUUCUAUUUCUACACUGUUUACGAACCUAAGGUGCCUUCCUACAAAGUUCAAAGCCUGGAUGUCAAAUCCUUUGAUCUCCUGCCUGAUUUCAGCCUCAACACUGUGUUUUUGGUAACUGUGGAAGCCGACAACAUGAACAAAGCCAUUGGUUUCACAUAUGGUCAGGGAAGCUCAGUCCUUGUGGAAUACACAGAUUCUAGACUUUGCUCGGGAUCACUGCCAAAUUUUCAUCAGGGCCCUCAUAAUACAACUUUGAUCCAAAUUGAGUUGAAAGGAAGGAGUGAAUUUGGAACAGGUCUUCAACAGGCUCUUCAAGAUAGCAAAGAAAAAGGAAGGAUUCCAUUGCUGGUGCGGAUUCAAGUUCCUGUGAGUGUUGUUGUGGGGGAAAUUUCCUCCAGGCAAUUUCACGUUUUCGUUAAUUGUACUUUGGUGGUGGAUAAUCUAGCUCCGGGCAAGAAAAUUGGGAUCUUAUCAAGCAAAUACGAUUUUGACCUCACAUUAUGAGAUCUAAGUAAAAUGCUUGGUAUCAUAUGGAUGAUCCUAUGUAGUUCUAGAGGUCAAGCACCUUGUUUUCUUGUUUUAGGAAGAGGUUUCAAUUCUAACUGCUCCACCCUUUUCUUGUUUCCUGUAUCCUGCCCCUGUAACCCUUACCUUCUUAGAAAUUCAUGAGAACAAAUAUGUAUGUAUGCAUCUAUGCUGGGGCAGCUAAUCUUUCUUCUCAAGGAAUGUUGGUGGUUGAUUAAGAGUUAGUGAUUAAGGAUCCUCCAGGGCCACUAUUCUUGAUUUUGUAAAUUAAGUAUUUACACGAGAGAACAAAAACAACUUCUUUGAUUGCUACUUGUAACAUGUCAUCUCUCAAGAGUGUUAUAUAUAAAUAUAUAUAUAUAUUUAUUUAUAGAGAAAAAGUAUGCUUUGAUCUCCAUCAAAACUGUAGUUCAUUUUUGACUUCCAGCUCAGGUUAAUAACAGAAAAAAAAUUGUUUGAUAUUCUUCUUUGUAAUUUAUGCAUGCAAAAAUAAAGAAAUGUUAUUGAUACUCGUUCAUCGAAUGGCACCAAAUUUUUAAAAGAAGUCCAGUGGUGAUUUUCAUGAACAAAUGCGGGUUUCUUCAAAAACACAAUAAUGAUAUGAUGCUGAUUAUAUAAUGCAUUGUGUUAUCUUAUCUAUCUUGCAAUUCAAAAGCGACCAAUAGGGAACUUGAGCCAGUGUAUUUGUUCUCAUUUGCUUUGGAUUUUACAAAAGCUGAUUAUUCAAAGCGUCUAUAUGGUAUAAUUAAGAGAAGCAAAAGCUACUCUUUGAUGGAUUUUAAAUUUUAAUUUUUUUUUACCUAUUACAAAAUCUAUAUUCUAAAGACAAAAGCAAACCAAAGGGUCCGAGAGAAAUGAGAUCCUGAUUGAAACCCUUUAUGAAUUGCUCGUUAACUCCCCAACCACCCAGAGAAAUGGCAGCUUUGUCUGAGAGAAAUGGCAGAUUGGAGGCGUGAUAAUCUAUUUUGUUUUACAGGAAAUCCACGUGAAUUAAAACAUGAAAAUUUCAAAGAGUGUCACAAUUUUCCUGAGUGAGAUGAAACUCUACAUACAUCGAAACAAGAAUUACUGACGUAGAAUUGAACAUACAAGGGAGAGAUUUUAUCAGGGAAGUUUUUUUUUUUUUUUGCUCAAAGCCUCUUUUCUAGUAGUACUUUUGUCACGUCCAAGGGCUUAUAGACUAGAAGAUUGUAGUAUGGAGCCAAUCACGUAGGUGUCGACAUUUGUUAGACUAAUGAAUGCUGCCUUGAUUUCUCUCUUGACGGCUGAUCACAGAAUUUUAUGCGUUAAAAACAAGUGGCAUAGCUUUUUACCCUUCAAGUCCUGAAUCGAAGGACGAUGGAGUUAGCAGUUAUAAAUCUUGCAAGAAGCUGCAAAACAUUCCAUCUUUUUGCCUUCGCUGAAGGCCCUCCAAUGGAGGGAGAGGGAUUUCUGAGUUCUGAUGCAUCAUGAACAAAAUUUCUUCAAUUUUCUCUUCCCUCCAAUCUCCCUCAUAUAUCCAUCAGCAUUUAACCAAUUCAAGACCAAAGCAGGCAUUAGUGAUAUAAGAACUCAAUUUUUUUCUACAGGUUAAUAUUUCAAAAGGAACUGUUGGUGUUUUGUUUAAGGAGAUUUACCGUGUUUUCGAGAUUUGGAGGUUCUUGAGAAUAGCAAGAUAAUUGCUUAAAGAUCACCGCAUCAUCAUUGAAUUCAACAUCGGGCUGAAAUCAAUUAUCAGCCAUGGCUCGUGGAUUAUAUCCUGCCCCUUCUUCUCUUUUGAGACAAAGUUCUUGUAAACGACAGGUAAAGCACAACGAUGAUCAUCUCAGGGUAUAUUUGCAGGGUAAAGUUUCAAUUGACAUUGCAUCUGUCAAGGAACAAGUUUAUGCGUGGUUUUGUGAUCUCUUGUCUGCAAUUGGCUCAUGUUUGAAACAUUCCGGUUUAGCAACUAGUAGCAGAACGGAAAAGAAUGUUUUAGUAUAUUUCACUAAAAGAACUGCCUAAAGAAAAGGAUGAUACUAGAAGAACAAACACACGGUCGAUCUUGUUUAUUGGCAAACUUAACAGAUAAAAUUUCCCUACAUCAAUUAACCCUGAACUUGGAUGUUUGAGUAACUUGUAUUUUGCCAUGUUCCUAAUAGGCAAAAGUAAGCAUGAACGUGUCCAAAGUUAACAAGGAAGCAACAGGCCUGGAAGUAGCCAAUUCUCGCGGAGGGAUAGGAGACUUGAUGUUGAUGUUUGAACUCAGGAAGAAGAUAAUAACCUUUAGAGACAUUCUUCACCUCCCACCUUGUGCUAAUGCUACUGCAAUUGCUGAGGUACUAUGUCUAAAUGCAGCUAAAUCAGUAAGGUUUACAAUUUGGACUUUGACAUAAAUUUCUCACUUUUACUUCCCUUUCAGUUGGUCGUGCGAACUUUGGAGGAUCUUAAGAAGUUGUAUCCCAGUAUCCUGCCGAAUAUCGAAGAAAGCAAAGAAGUUUCAUUACAGCAGGUUUAUUCAAUAUUAAGUACCUCAGUAUAGAUAUAAUACUUCUUGAAAAUACAUGAAUUCACACGAUGAAGGAUGUUUGUCCAGGAGAUGUCCAAUCUUUACGAGGCUCUAAAAUCUAUAGGAGACGUCUGGGACAACAAUCGUAUGUUAGUUGCUGACUCUGUGCACUGUGCAGAUGGUAGCUCAAAUGCUACAAACUCGAAGCAACUUGGUAAGUUCUUUUUCUUUAUUAUUGAACUGUUUCCAUGUUUCAGAGUUGAUAAAUGACUUUUUUAAAGGAAAUUUACAGUUUCUGUGCAUGCAAGGUGGACGAGUGAUUGAAGAGCUUGACAAUAUGAUUAAAACUGCAAGGCAGAAUUUUGAUGUCAUGCAUGAAGAUGAGAAAAGCAAUAAAGACGUUUUAAGAGAAAUGUCUCCAGAUAUCAAAAACACCUGUUCUUCUCUAGCAUCACCCAAUUCAGUCCCUACUGGUCUGAUGAAACCCAGUGCAGUUGCUGAUGCUUCUAACCCUCUCCCCACUUUACUUCAGACAGUGGAAAAAUGCAUCUCCACGGACAUAUGUCCUGCGGUGUCAUUACAAGGCACUGUUCCUGUUAAAGAGGGGAGGAAGAAGGCGGAUGAACAAACAGAGAACUUUAGCAAAGCGAAAAGCACCACUGAAGGAUCACCAAGAAUAGCAACGAAUGAAGUCACAAGUAGUCCCAAGUCUGGAAUCAAACCUAAGAGCAAUUUGAGUGACAUGCUUAACGCAAGAAGGCCAAAAGAAGCAAGCCGGUCUUUAUCACUCCCAUCCAUUCCCACAUCUCCAGUACCCCUUGCGGCUCCACCUCCACCUCAUCCUCCAACAGUUGGGGUUUCACGGCUAAAUGGUACUGCUCCGCCUCCACCUCCUCCUCCAGGAUUGGGGGUUCGAAAAUUCCCAAGCCUGAAGAGAUCAAAUUCAAAACUGAGGAGAUCAAAUCAUAUGGGAAACUUGUAUCGAAAUCUCAAAAGAAAACUGGAAGGAUCAAAUGUUACUGAUGCAAUAUCUAAUAAGAUAAAUCGUCGGGUUGGUGGUCUUACCAGCAUAAAACAAGGAAUGGCUGCAGCCCUUGCUGAAAUGACAAAAAGGUACUUUACAGUGGAAAUAACUAUUCACCACGGACUGUGUUACAAUAGACAAGUAGAUAUGGCAAAUGAUGAUGCUUCAUGGUGCAUGAUCUCUUUGUUUGGAUUUCAGAUCAGCAUAUUUUCAUCAGAUUGAAGAAGAUGUUCACAAGCACUCUGAAAUGAUCAUGAAGCUGAGAGAUGACAUAUGUUCCUUUAAGACAAAAGACAUGGCUGAGCUUCAAAAGUUCCGUAGAGAUGUAGAGAAACAUCUAGAGGAAUUGAGUGAUGAGACUCAGGUGAGUUAUCUCAGAUUUUGAGCAGGUUCAGCAAAUUCAAAGUUUAGAAGGACAUAAAACAUGCUUUUGCUUUCACAGGUUUUGGCAAGGUUUGAAGAUUUUCCUACAAAGAAGCUGGAAUCAUUGCGGAUAGCCGCUGCAUUGCACUCAAAAUUGGAAGGAAUAGCUUUUACCCUGGAGCAUUGGAAAACUGAGCCUCCAGUUGAGAUGAUGCUCGACAAGGUGGAACGCUAUUUCAACAAGGUAAAUCUCAUGAUCUUACGCCUAAAUUAACCAAUAUCAAAGAAUGAGAUACUGAGAAUUAUGAACUCUUCAACCAGAUUAAAGUAGAUAUAGAAUUAUUGGACCGGAGCAAAGAUGAAGAUUCUAAGCAUCUUCGAAGUCAUGAUAUUGUUUUUGACUUCAACAUAUUGAUAAGAAUCAAGGAACUUAUGGUGGAUGUUUCCUCAGCCUGCAUGGAGUUGGCACUCAAGGUAACUAUUCAAGUAUUUGCUACCUACCUCUUUUGCAUUUUUUUCACCCUUUCUAGCACCCUACAAUUACUAUGAACUUCUCACCAGGAACGAAGAGAAGCAACUGAAGGAAAACGAAAAGCACUCACGAAACUGCUAUGGAGGGCUUUUCAGCUAGCGUUUCGAGUCUAUACCUUCGCUGGGGGACAAGAUGAGCGAGCUGACAGUUUGACCAAGGAACUAGGUCGAGUACUACAUAGUGAUGCGUGAUAGUAGUGAAGUCAUAGAAUCCUCAAACAAGUGCAGUAAUCUCUGCAUAUCUCCUAUUGGCAAACGACAGCCUAGAACCAUUGUUGUAACAUCUCCUGUAGUUUUUGAACUGAAGCGCUGGAUUCAGGUGCAAUGACAUGAUGUAUCUGGAAUCCAAAAAAAUUGUACUAACUCAUUGAGAAUUAGUGUGCAUACAAGAAAGUUUUGGUUACUAGCAAAAGCAAGCAAAGACUAUUAAGCGUUUUAAUAGAGAGCAGUUAUCAUCUGCUUCUUUCCAACGUCUUAGUUAGUGCUUAUCUAUCAAACGUAGAAAAUAUUGUCUACACUUUUGGCUCUAAAUAUCCUCCUCAAUGUUGGCAUUCAAGAAAUGUAGCUCGGCAUCAUCUCCAAUAUCCCUCCUCCCUUGUUGUCAAUGCAACAUUUCAAGAAGAUUCUUGUAGAUACAAAUUGAUUAAGGUCUAACAAAGGUUAAUGAGAUUCAGGGCUCUGAAACAAAACUUUAAAUGUCAUCCAAUUACUAAUAUACUAGAAAUAGACCAGGUUCCAAUUUCAUGCUGAAGCAAUUGAAAGUGAAAGUCCAGAACUUCCAAUGGAGAAUAGGACGUCCCUCAGGGAUAUAGUGCAUAACAAAACCAUGACAAGCAAAUUAAGAAACAGGUUGAGUAUAUUUAUUCUUCUCUAUAAGAGGUAAAUCAUUGCAAGUGCACAAUUCAGACUUGCUAAUUACACAUCCUUAUGAUUUUACCAAAGAAGCCCAACUGGGGAGAAAAAAAAAAGAUUCGAUUUUUCUUUUCCCAACAAAUCUCUGCUGCUUUUGACCUUUUCUUCUGUUCCUUCCUUAUUGGGUUUGACCUGGAAAGGUAAGUAAUGUAUAAACUAGCUACUACUUGCACAAUACAUGAAACAAGUGACAUAUAGGUAUAUAAAUUAUCUAGAAUUGAUUAUUAUAGUUAUCCUUUUUUAUAGGUAAAUAAUAAAGGCUAUCUGUCACAAUAUAGAAAAAGUAAUCGGUCGAAUGUAACACUUGAUACUAAUACAUAAAUACAUGAUAAUGCAUAAGUAAAUUAUAAGGCAAAUUCUCAAGUGUCGAUGAGAGAACCACUCAGCAUAUUCCAACUAGUACUAAAAGCCAAGACAUGAACAUUAGAAGUGUAAAAUCGGUACCCAUCUCUAAUAAUAUUAGUUUCCUUAUGUAAUUACUUACAUAGUGAGUGAUGAUUGUUGUUGGUGGUGGUGGUGGUGGUGGUGUGUGUGUAUAUAUAUAUUUUUUGGUAUUAAUAUAGGGAUGUAAUUGAGUUGAGUCAAAUUCGAAUAUCGUCAUACUUGAGCUCGACUCAAUCAUCAAAAAGGAUACUCUAGCUCGAACAAGUGGCAUUACUGGAGUUUGAACUCGAGCUCGAUACAUCGCUUACAGAACUCGAGUUCGAUUCACGUGGGGCUUGAGUCAAUGCGAGUCUUACCGAAUUCGAGUUAUGAAGAUUUGGGAAUUUCAUUUUUUUUUGGACAAUUUUUGAGCGAAAAGACAUUAUCGUCCUUCAAAAAAAUUCACAUGACCUGAAAUAUUUUGUAAAUUCAACCACUCUUAUGGGCACAAGAGUAAUUUCAUAAUAAUAAUAAUAUAUUAAAGAAUUAAAAUUUAAAAACUCGAUCAGGCUCGAAACCUUCGAGUCUUGCUACUAAAUACUCGAUCUCGACUUUCUAGGCCUAUCGAGCUAUUCAAACUCGAAUCCGAAUCGAGUUUUUGACCAAUCUACUCGUGACUAGUUGGGUUCGAUUACAGCCCUACAUUAAUAGAGCUAUUUAUGUAAUGUUUUGCCUGGUAUACAGAUUAUAUUCUCCCAUACUUAUGUGCCAGUAGUAAAGUUUCCCUGACAUUCAGUACAUGGGGCAUAAUUAUGAAGAGUAGUUUAUGGUGCCUAGCUUUCAGCAUCAUGCGCUGCCAAGAAACCCCAAUCCCCAGUACUGCACGUUUCCACGUUUCCAUGCCAUGGAUUCAGUUGGCCACCAACCCCCCCUCUACUGCCCAUUAGUGAUUCCGGCUAAGUGAAUUUGAUAACCUGUUUCAUUGACUCUCUGUUCUCUAACAAUCCAAUUUGCAGCUACAACUUCAACAUGUUGUUUGACUCAAAAAAAAAAAAAAAAGAGGUACAACAUAUUUCGGACAAGAAAUAUGAAGAGGAAUUGUCAGUGCGUGCAUUUUAAGGUUGCUGCGCAAAAAUGGUCUGCACAGAGGAACCCAUGAUAGCCUGAUUAUCAUGCGGCCACAAGUUCUGACUAAUUUUUCUUCUGAUUUCAUUUGGUAGUUUAGCUAAUUAUAACCUCCUUUAGAUGUCUAAUUGCUAUAAUCACACACUUCUUUUUUUUCCUGAUUUAUGAAGUAUGAUCCAUUUUUCUCGAAUUAAUCUUACCACAAAUUUUUAUUUUCAAUGAGGGAUGACUUUAUGGAGUCAAAUUUAGCGAGGGAAAUUAUUGAAAGGGGAAAGGAGACAACUAAUUAACUAUAACUCGACAAACCUCAAGACAAGUUCCAGAAAUACUUUGUCGCAGUUUAUGUUCUUUGUUGCUUAAAUAGGGUGGUAAGAACAUACAAGUUCUUGAAUGGAGCGGCUAGUGUUGACGCUCCGGAAUGUAGAGGUUCUGCGUUCUAAGAUGUCCUCUCUCCGUUUCUUAAAUUCCACCCCUCUUUUGCUUAAAAAAAAAAAGAAAGAAAAUAUUUCUUGCAAUUCCAUGAUUCUAAUUUAGAAAACUACCAAAAUCUAAUUCCUUUGAGAGAAAUAUUUGUGGAUGGACAUAUGUGAAAAAGAAAGUAAGAUGUUGAAGUUAAGAGGCAUGACUGAUACUUAAUGGUGAUUGACAGGGAUGGGCUUGCUCAAAUUGUUAAUUUGAAAGCAGCCUCAAUUAUAUUGCUCCAGUGGGAUGGGGCAAAGGGUACUUUUCCCUUUGCUUCAACAAAUAAUACUUGUUAUUAUUGGUCGGAAUAAAGGGCCAAGAAAAGUUGAACUGUGUAUAUGACUUCCUUGAAGAGUAAGAUAUUCCACAAAACUAAUUGAAACACUAGAAGUGAGAAAUUCUGCAGCAUUUAUUCUCACAAAAGUAAUUAGCACUACUCAACUUUUAAAGAAAAACAAAAAAAAAAGUAUACAUUGUGGGCCUGUCUUCGCAUUCAAGGGCUCAAAAAGCAUAGAAUUAUCAACUGAAAAGUAGUACAAUCAUACUCAAAAUCAAGUUUAUAAGUUCAUGAAUUGCCCACUUUCUUCUCAAGGGAAAAAACGAAUUCAACAAUAAUAUGGUAACGUAAAACAAAAAGAAAAACAGAACAAGGAAAGUCCUAGCGUAUCUCAAGUUCUGAUAACUGUUCCAAACACUUACAGCGUCGUAGUGGAGCAGUUUCCUAGGAGGAGUUGAGACGACUAUCCUACCACCUCAAGUCUCAAAAGUCCUAGCUUAUAUCAAGUUUCAACCCCACUACUUCUCCUUUUCCACUUCUGAAAUAACUGCCUCAUGAAGAUCGAAUUCAACUGUCUUCAGGAGUAGCAGUAGUUCAGUUCAUCCUAAUCAUGAUCAUAUAUUAGCUCCUGUCUAAACUCUUGUCCGUUCUUUAUUCGGCUUUCGGCAGCUGGCAGAUUAAUAAGCCAUCUUCUUCGUAUCCACCCUCAGCCCUUUUGUACUUCAAAUUCACCCACUAUUAAUUAGUUGUAAUCGGUCUCAGCUGCUUCUUCAUCUUUUCUAACCGGCAUCAACCAAAACAGGCUUAUUUGGACGUCUAAUCAAACAUGUUUGAUAUUCUUUUCGGAUGGAGAAAAGCCUCUAAGUGGUACUACUACACUAGUAUUAAUCAAUAGUUUUUGCUAAUUCAGGAUGAGUUUCUUUUUUUUUAGUGUAGUAUUCGUUACUGGUGUUUGUUAUGUAUGAUCAUGACUAAGACGGAGUUCUUGAUGGUUCUUUUGCAGCAAGAAAUUGAUCAGAAGGGUUCAGUGCCGUCUCAAAAUUCUCAAGAACAAGCAAAGUACUAUUGUGAGGCAGUCGAGGGAGGAUUUGGCUGAGCUUCUCAAACAUGGCCAUGCCCAAACUGCCUUUGAUAGGGUAUGAUCACCUUUGCCUAUCCACCAAAAUCAAUCUCUGAAAAAAAAAAUCAUCGUUAUGGCUUGUUGAUCUUGAUUUCUCUGCCUUAUGUGAUCGCCCCUGUUCUAGUGAUCAUGGUAUGAUUAAUUAUGUGAAGAGUUAAUCUGAUUGAGUUAAAACAGAUGAACAAUAUUUUCCCUCCGCGGUUAGCCUGCUCGGCUCUGUUGGGAGAGAUUUAAUGAACUUACUUGGUGGUCAUAAUGCUGUUAUAGUUGCAAGCAAGGAUCUUUUCUGCAGGAUACAUAAAGCAAAUUAGUUCAGUUUUUGUUUCACCACAUAAUUAUGAAGUCAAAUUUGAACAAAAUUUAUAUCAAGUAAUAGAGAAAAGCAUUGUAUUCAACAGUUCAAGCCUAGGCUUCAACCUUGUGUCUCUGUUCGCUGAGUUUAAGGAUCAGCUUCAUGAGUUAUUAGGUGCUUUUUCAUUAAAUUCCAGGCAAAUUUGGAAUAGAUGCAUGAAUAAACCUAAGAACGGAUCUUCCCAUUUUCAUUUUCUUUAUUAACAAAUUUUCAGGUAGAGCAGCUGUUCAAAGAUGAAUGUAAGGUGGCAGCGUAUGAUCUGCUGGACCAAUUCUGUGAAUUUAUUAUCCUUAACUUAUCUUACAUCCGGAGAAACAGGUAUGUUCAUAAGCAAUUGCAAGAUUUGUUCUGUAAAUUCAUGUCUUCUUGUAUUUUGGACCUGGCAUUCAAGCUGAAGUAGGAAACAGCAAAUGCGUGAUGCUUACUUUCCAUGGGUUCAGGGACUGUCCUAAUGAUAUCAAUGAAGCAGUGUCAAGUCUUAUAUUUGCAUCAGCAAGAGUAAGAUCUGGCGAUCUACCAGAGCUUCUAUCGAUCAGGAAGCUUUUUGGAGAAUGGUAUGGUCAGAGAUUGGCAACUUCUGCCCUUGAAUUACUUCCUGGAAAUCUUGUGAAUCGUCAGGUUUGCCCUUGAAUUACUUCAGAUAUAAAUCCGUAUGGUUCAUUUAUUUCUGCUACCAUGUUGUUUAUGGAUUUAAUGUGCGGGACAUAACAUUCAUGUCUCUGAAUGCAGAUCGCAGAGAAAUUAAGCAUAAAAUCAGUACCAGAUGAUGUGAAGAGCAGCCUGGUGAAAGACAUAUUAGGAAGUUCCCUUCAGUCAGGUCCUUUGUUGCUCGAGUACAGUUCUGAAAAGCAACAGAAAUUGGUAUGUUGUUUUCACAGUGCUAUAGCACUGAUGUUCUCUUGGGUGUAUUACCAAUUUUCAGUAUGUAACUUGUGUUAUCUCAUUAAUUGAAGGCGAAUGAAAGCAGUGGUGAUCCAUUUCCCAGUGCUGAAACCAUCCGUGAGCAAAAUGAAGGACACAAUUUACAGAUGUCUAAUGCAACAGAGGAAGGGAAGAUUGUAUAUGUCGAUUUCUCAUCAGUAAAAAAAUCUAUAAAGGACCUAUCUCCCUCUUUGGUGAGCUCUAUGACUACGUUCCCUUCCACCUAUUCUGUAGUAUUGCAGCAGACUCUGCUAAAAACAGUGGAUUCCACUGUCCAUAAGAAAGACCUGAGACUAGUCAGUUCAGCAAGGAAAAUUUGCCCGUGUGCAUUUGAAAUGUCUAGUUUUCAACAGUUGGAAGGGGCAAUAGUGGUCCAUGAUUCUGCUGUGGGACAAGAGGAGCGGAGUGCAGUAGUAGAAUCUUCUUCUGUAGGACAAUUGCCCAAGGAGAUGAUAUAUCUUGAUGACAUUCAGGAAAUCCAGUCACCUUUGAGCAAAGAGGGCAACUUACAGGAUCAAAGACUGUUCAAGUUCAAACAAUCUGCUCUCCCCGUUACAGGAAUUACACAGAAUCCAGAUGAUGAAGCUCCGGAUCAAGAGCAAUAUGAUUCUGACAAUGAGAGAGCAGCAUCAAGAAGCUUCAGACAGAGCAGGAACAUGGGUUCUGGUAAAAGACAGAGGAGGAGGUCAGUUUCAGGAGAUGCUACCAGCAUGAAUGACAUUGAAUGUGCAAUCUACUACGGUGAAUCAUACGGCCGUUCGCCAAAUUAUUACCAGAAAUCCCGUGAUAAGAAAAAGGAUCAGAAGAAGGUUCCAAUUAAGCGGCAGCAAAAAGUAUACCAGGCACAAGAAAUCCCAAUGCAUUCACCCUUCAUCAAAGUCAAAAGUGGCUUCAAUUUCAUAGAGUCCAACGAUGAUCAUACCAAAUCAGACAGCAGAUGCAGCUCCGACAACAAAAUGCUCAACAACUGCAGCUUGCAACAUCCAUGUUAUUUCCGCACAUGUGACGACGAAGAUGACUGGAAUUGUUCACCACAGAAGCCAAAGAUUCAGUACGUGCUCUGCCAUUGUCACUGCUCUUGCAGUAAAAAUCCGAAAAUCAAAGAGGCCGAAAAAGGGAUGCUUCUAAAUCAGCCAACAAUCAAAUCUGAAGAUGCAACAAGUCCUCCUUUUGUCAUUUCCACCAGCUCAGGAGCAAAUAGUCCUUUUACAAGCAAAGAAGGGAAGCCCUCUUACUCGAGAGCAAUGACUAUGCCCCCUGAAAGGCCUAAAGAUGCAGGCAUUGACAGCAUGCUCCGAUCAAAUUCAUUCCCAUUUGAACACCCUGAGUCCUCUUCAAACCGGCAUGUUCAUCCAAAGCUUCCGGAUUAUGACGAAUUAGCAGCUAAAUUUAUGGCACUCAAGAAAGCCUAUUUGCAGAAGUGAGAAGUACGGUACAUAUUGGAGAGAGCCAUAAUAACAGAUGUAUAUAAUAUGUCAAGAUUGGACAAGAUUUUGCAUUCAAAUUUCAUCAAUUCUUUACGUUGGUUGAUGUUAAAUGUUCUAUUAGAGCAAGCCAUUGAGACAUUUUUCUCGAACGGAUUGUAACAAAGAGCUGUCUGUGCAAAAUUUUGUCUUGUUUUUUUAGACUGUAAGCUGCUUCAUGCAUUGAUGGGCCAUCGAAAGCCCACUUAAAGCUGUCAAUUUGAACCGCUCUCUCUUGGCCCACAUGUAUUAGGCUCAAGAAGCGGAGUAUUGAUGUUGAGUUCCAUCCUCAAAGACGAGAUCAUAAAAAAUGAGAUCGGAACAAGUCCAGUUGAGGUUUGGUACAAUUUGUUUUGUUCUUCUUUCAGAAUUUGGUGUACAUUCACAUAAUUGUAUUAAUCUCUUAAGUUGAACAUGAAUAAAAGUAUACAGCAACCGGACAACCAUAUGAAAACCUCAAUUAUACUUGAACCAAACCCAUGAAAAAGUGUGUGAAAACUAGUGGGGCAAUUUUUGGCUGUGCAAAACUUGAAGGUACAGAGUUCAAAUUCGUCUACCCUAUCGGCACCAACCUCUCCCCCCUCUCCUGUUCUCCGGUCAAACCCUUGCCCCAAAAAAUAAUGGAUGAAAGGAUCCGAUGUUACCAAUCUAAACUUCAGUUUUCUUAAAAAAAAAAAAUUAAAGGAAAAUGGUUCAAAACGUCCCUCACAUUUUAUUAAAUCAAUUUUUUUUGUUCUUCACUUUUAAAAUAGUAACUUUACGUCUCUUAAAAAAUAAGUCAGUAAAAUUUGGUUCGAAUCUAGAUUUUCAACUACUUUUUAUUUUGGAUCUAUCACAUGAACUACAUAUGGUCAUUUUUUAGGGGCAAAAAGGUUAGGUCUCAUUUAUAGUUGAAUAAAUUACUUGAUUCAUAUUCAUUUUUGCUCGUAAAAAAGUAGAAUUUAAUCUGAACUAUAUGAUUUGUCCCUAAAAAAGAGCAAUUUGACCCAAUUCAUAUUUAUUUUUGUCACUACAAAAAUGAAAUCUAACCUUUUUGUACAUAAAAAAAUGACUACAUAUAGAUCAUGUAGUUAUUUCAGGCCAAAAAGUGGCUGGAGACUCAAGAUAGGAUCAAAUUUUGCUAACUUGGAUUUGUUAGAAAGUAAAGUUAACAUUUUAAAAGUGAAAAACAAAAAAAAAAAAUUUAUUUGACAAAAUGUAAGGAACGUUUUGAAUUAUUUUCCCAAAAAUUAAAGGCAUAAUUUGUUUUUUCACUCCCUGCCUAAAUGUUCAAGGCUCCAUCCCAAAUGAGUUGCACAUUUUCGCGUGUGGAGUUUAAGUAAGAUUAGCUAACCCUAAAAUGUUUGGAAUUGUAAGGUUUAAAGUGUGAGGCGAAGGGUCAAACUAUCAAAAACAAGCCAGGGUUGCCUUUGUUUGAUUGGAUUUACAAAACAGACCUAAUUUGGAAAUUGAAACUUAUUAAGAACAUCAAUUUGUUUAUUACUUGAUUGGCCUUGUUCCAAUGGAAGAUGUGGUACUUUUCAUAUGUCUAAUGAUUAUCAACAAUACAAUUCCGUCCAAUCUAAUAUUAGGGAAUAAAUUUAACUUUUGGGCUUUGAAAAAACUCGGAUCUAAUCCAAGAAUAUGAGUGAUAUUUUUAGUCUAUUCUCAACACAUCUAUGCGUGUUCUGACGUCGAUGGGGUCUUUAAUGAUUUGUGGCACAAAAAGAGCUGAUAAAUGGGUAUACUUUUUGGUUCUAUUUUCUCUAUUACCGCUAUCAAUGUUUGUCCUCUCAAGCCCAUUUAAGAAAGUUGUCACAUAAUUGAUAGAGCAUUAUUUGCCAAAAGCACAAGAAAAGAAAACCCCCCCCCCCCCAUUGGAUCACUUGUCAAAGAAACAUAAGAGAAUUUUCCAUAUACUUAUGAAUGCCAAGCAAGUGACACAUCAAAUUACUAGGAAAAAGAGAAAUGUUUCAAGGUAAUUUAAAUCUUACCCUUGCUGUUGUAGUAGUAAACUUUUGAGGCCAUGCAAAUUAGACAAAUCUUUAGAAAGGUACUCAUUGGUUAUUUAUUCAUUUAUUUAUUGAAUUAAUCUUUUUUACACUGACGAUGUAUAUACUAUCAGCGUUGGAUGAACGACAACUAUGAAAAAUUUGAAUUUGAAAUUUAACUUUUGCACACGUGUCAUGAAUCCAACGAUGAUAGUGUAUACACUGUCAGUAUAGAAAAAAUUUACUCUUAUUUAUUUCUAGAUUUUUUUGGAAAGUUAGUCAUUGGAUAAACUAGCAAUAGCUUAACUUUUAAGUUUCAAUAAUUGAUUGUAUGAUGGAUAGGCAUGAAUAAAGAUUAGGAAUCUAAGAUCAACUAUCUGGAUUCCAAUCGGUAUUAAUUUGCCGGUUAAUGAGUCAUUACUUUUUGUUUCUUAUCCAAAAUUAAUAGUGCAUAUGAUGCUCUCUGCUAAGAUAAGAAUAAAUCUAGUGACAUAAAUUUGACAAAGAUUUCCACAAUCUCUAUCUACGAGCCUUCUUAUUAAUUACCAAUGCAUGUACAAGUCAUAAUUAAUUCCAUCUGUCCUACCUGUGUCAUCCUUGAUGGAAUCAAAUUUGCCAUUCAAGCAAUGUAAAACUUUUUAAAAAAAAAUCUAGAAAACAUAUAAAAUGAAAAAAAUAAAGACAAAAAAGUUUAAACUAAGGAUUAAUCUUUUCUACACUGAUAGUAUAUAUUCUAUCAGUGAUGGAUGGAUGAACGAUAACUAUACAAAAUUUAAAUAUAAAACUCAACUUUUACACAUAUAUCAUGAAUUUCACUGUGAUAAUGUAUACGUUGUCAGCGUAUAUUUACUCUUAAAUUAAUACGAACAAAGUUUUCCUCUGGAGACUUCUAUGACAAAAUCCCACAUAUAGGGGCCGUCUAAAGACAAAUUAUAAUACGUAAUCGAAAUUAAUUUUUUACUUCCUUUUCUUUUGGUAAGACAAAUUAUAAUACGUAAUCGAAAUUAAUUUUUUAUUUCCUUUUUCUUGCUUGAUGGUUACUAUGUCGUUUGCACAUUCGCAAAAGUUAUAAAAAUUUUCGAAUUGUCUGCGCUUGUAAAACUCGAUAAGAAGAUGUUCUGCUCGAAAAUGACUUGAAAAUUUUUUAAGGGCUUUUAUAACCUAGGAAAAGUCCAUCCAUUAAUGAUGCGGCAAGCCGUCCAAAAACGAAUUAUUGUGUUGUGGGCUUCAGAUCAUACUACUAGAAAGAUAUUAAGAGGCUGCUUAUCUGCGGGAUUUUUUCAUUGCAUGCUGGGAAUAAUGAUUAUGUAGGACAAAGUAGAUUUUUGUUGCUGAAUAUUUUAAAAGGGUCAAAAGCAAAGAUGUUUUCUUACUUUUUUCUCAACAAGGAAAUUGAUUGGUUGGAAAAUCAGUAGUUUCUUCAUCCCAAUGUUGAUAGACAUUCUUCAGAGCUACCGCAGCAAUAUGGGAAUGGCAAAAACUUGUCCUUUCCUCAAGUCACCAACCAAAAGGGAAACUCUAUAAUUUGCUCCACUAGGAAAAACUUUCAUGUUUAUAUGUUUAUUGGGAUUGAGGGAUUUCAUUUUUCUUGAUUUUUCAUGGAAAAAUUAUUGUAUCGAUUUGAUGUAUGUGAGAAAAAAAGAUAAUAGGGAAAUGUGAUCACGAAAAACGACGUAAUUUUUCGACGAAAACUGAUAAUCCAAACAGGGCUGAACAAAGUGAAAAAAUAGGGUUUUGGCUCUCACAUUUGAGAUUCAAAACAACACUAAUUAUUUUUAGUGUACGCAAUCAUUUUUAGUACAUGAUUUCACUAUUUUAGAGAAAAAUGUAAUGAAAGAACUAAAUGUUAAGCAUAUUAAUUCUAUGCCCAAAUGCGAAUAUAAUCGUCUGAUAAUGUAAGAAAAAAACCAACGUAUAAAUUUGAUAUGUAGUUUAAUAAGUAUUUUAGAUUCUAAGAGAGAAUUCAAUAUUUAGAAAUUCAAAAAUACAAUCUGCUUGACGUUUAUGACGAGAACGGGUCCAUUUUUAAUUUUUUGUCAAACAUGAUGCUUUAAUAAUUAAUUUGUAUAAAUAAUGCUUAACCAUUGACAAAUCUUACGGAAAAUCUGGCCCCAACAUAUAUAUAUAGUACUAGAAUUAGGUACAGAUCAAAAUUUUUGUGCACGAGUUUGGUGUUGAUAUUUUGUAAAGAGGAGCAAAGCAGAAUGGCUUUUUGUAUGUGUAUGGGAAUGCAUUUGAAUAUGUGUAUCGUGGGGUCUUGGAUUCCUGAUAGAACCGAAGAAUAAACAAGUGAAAAAUGAUGAGUUGAAUGACCGGUGGACCCCCGAAAUGUGCCGAUUCCCACCGACCCCCACAGACACCGUUAUGGUGGUUGACUUUGUUGGUACGUAUUUAAAAGACAACAGAACUGACCAUUUUGAUUUUGCCACCGAAAGUUGAACUCUAACGUGUAUAACCUCUAUGAUUAUUGUUGCUACUGUACACAUAUUUAAGCCUCUAUACUGUUUACCAAAAGAACAAAAAGGAAAAACAAAAGAAGGCCUCUAGAUGAUUUCACUGUUUGUUUUUUUGGUAGAAAAAGAUUUGGAUGGAUUCGAUUUCAAUCACUAUUAUAGGUCUGGACAUGCUCUUAGGACUAUAGAUCGAGGGUUCUUACAAAUUGUUAAGUGGGACUAUAAGUCGUUUAUAGAAUUUCUUACAAAUUGCCUGUUUAUGUAAUUCUCAUAUUAGGAGUAUGAUUCGAACACAUGACUUUUGUUAUGAGGAAGUGAUUCGUUCUUAGUAAUUGAGUCAACUUGUGAAGUUGGCUCUCUGUUGUUCAAUUACUUGAAGGCAUCUAUAUGCAGAGAAAAAAUGAUCAAGAGUUUUUUAACUAGCCAUUUUUUGGACAACGAAAAAUGCAUUUUUUCAAGUUCCAAAGAUUUUAUUGUAAGAGGUCCUUUUUGUAUUUUUUUUUUAAUAUAUACAUUUAAAGAGGUAUUGUGAAGCUUAACAUGUUUCUAAGUAGUUCAAUCAUUAAUUCUUCUUUAAAAUCUUUUGGAUUGAAGUAAAAGAAGCGAUAAGGAAGAAGAAAAAGAAGAAUACCGUGUUCGAUUAAUUGGUUCAAGUCCGAAAUUGUUCAUACAGUCAUCCACUUUAGAAGCAGAAUAUUGGACCUAUGAUUCAGGGAAUGUAUUAUAUUGACAUCUCGUUUAUGCACUGUGCAAGAUAUUUCCUCAAAAUGCAUUAGAAAAGUUUGGAGUUUAGAUCAUUAUGGAAAGGUACCAAUCACAAUGAGCUUCAUGAACCAAAGAAGAAAAUCAGUCUCAUACAAAUCAUUGACAUUAAAAAGAACCAAGGAGUCGACUUAUCAAAUAAAAUGCUUAUCUUAGAAGAAAGAAAAUCAUAUAGAAAAAUCUGUAUGGGCUUAUCUGGAAUAAAGAAGGGCAUUCGAUGUAGACGCACCUUAUACCUUCUCAUACAUUGAUUUUUUUUCUUGAUUUCCCAAUUGUUUACACAUUAAAGAAAUUUGGGAGAAUGGGAUGUCAAUACUGCUUUUGAAGCUACUAAACAAAUGCAUACUUAAAAAGGGUUUUUAUCCAAAUGGACGACUUCGAAAGCAAGUUCUGCCCUAGUGCUCUUUACACUCCUAAGUAAAAAUCUUCAUAAACAGCACUAGAAAUCCAACUGCAGUACUAUAGACUUUACAAAAGAAAAAAGGAAAAAGAAAACCCAAUUGGGGUUCACUCGCUUUGAUUGUUUAUACUUUUUGUAUUGGGGGCUGAGUAGGGAAGAAGGGCAAAGGUAGAUUUAGAAAUUAAACUAUUCAUGAAGUUGAUGUCCUAGGUUUCCAUGAAUCUAUUCUUAAUUAAGUGGAUGACAAAUUAAGCAUCCAUUUUCAUAGGGAUUAAUUGCCCAGUUGUAAUUGUUUAGCUAGAAUGAGUAUCAAUUAGAAAACUACAUUUACCAAAAAAAAUGAGAAAAACAACAAAUCCUUGUCCAUGUGAAUUUGCAUUGAAGAAGUCAAAAUAAUACUACCUUCAUACAUAUGAGCUAUCAAAACGUGGAAAAUCUUAGGUUAUGCUACACGACUCUCCUAGUAUAUAUAGUACAGGAACUUGAUCAUAAAAGUCAUCAAACAUCCAAAUGACUAGAGCCAAAAAUAUUUGCCCCCUUGACUAUAAAUAAGCAUGUAAAGCUAGAGCCAGUUUCUGCAUAUUUUUUCUUUUUUUUUAAAAAAAAAAAAAAUUAGGGUAGAAAGCCAUUUACAUGUACUGAUAUCUAAGGUCUCUAACAAAUAAAGGUCAUUAAUCUAAUCUUAGAGGUGAUGAACCUCGUACUCCAUUCUCCAAUCCAUUAUAAAGGAAUCUCAUCCAGGUGGUACAUAUUUUAUUCACACUUGGUCGAGAUAAUUCUCAGCUGGUUCUCAAGUGUAGUCUUUUGUAUGUCCAUUUGCUAAGGCAAAUUGAUAAUUUAUUAACACGUGUUCUGCUCUUUUGUACUGCGUUUUAUCUAAGUGUAGGAACUAUGAACACAAAUGGCCUUCACAAAACACUUGGACGAAGGCUGGACAGCGUGAAAAGCAAAGAAAAUUCACAUCGAAAGUACGAAAUCUAAAGCGUCAAAAUGGUAAUAAUAAAACUAUAGGACUAAAUGAAAAUGUUCAGCUGCACGUAUUCAACCUGGAUCGAAGACAAAUGAACAGCUAAAAGCGAAAAGGAUGACUGAGGUCGGAUGUUAUCAAAAGGGUACUAUCAAAAGGGUUCGAGUACUAAUUAUAUUUUGUUUUCUAGUUGCUCAUGAGAUUCUUGGCACUGUUUUUCGAGCCGGAUGGUGGGUGGGUAUACUCUAGCUAUUUAUAUAAUGGGAUAUUAUAGCUUGGGGAUCAAUCUCUCGUUUAAGGGUUUCGAAUAUUUAUCCUUUUUUAAGUAUUCUUCACCAUUUACAGGAAAGAAAGAAGAACCCAUGACCAAUUUUGAUGAAUCUGUUGAUCAGCUAGUUUUACAGAUGAACUGAUAUGGCAUAAACUAGUUCUUGGUCAGAUUGAAGAAUCUGAUUAAUUAGAGUUAAUAAUGCUGGCCUGAGAACUCUAAGAUAUCGAAGAAUUCACUAUGAAGAUAGGCAAAAAAAUGAAAGGAGAGAGAGAUGAGCCAACAUGUUACCACCAACCAUGAAUUAUCAUGCACCAAACAACCACUCUUUGGCAUGAUGGGACGCAUUUUCUUGGCAAUUAGUCUACAAAAUGAUAAGAAGAAGACACACUAGAUGACUAUUUCAUGACAUAGGCGAUCGUCCAUUAAUUGGAUCUCGGGAGUUCGAAUAUAAGAAGAACUUGUUCUCAAACUGGACAGGGUGGAACUCCAAAAUUGGUCAAAAACAGUUGUUAAAAUGCAAUUGGAGAAUUGCAUAAUUGGGGUGGCGAGGCUGAGUCAUAGCGUGAACGAAAACAAAUUUGGACCGUCAUUGGAAUAAGACGGUGUCAAUGACAAUGAGAUAGCAUGUGCAUGCUUCUUUAGUUGUGUUUGCGUGCCUGAUUUUGACCAUUCUCAUUGGGGCAUUAAAAUCGUAGAUUUCCAAUGGAAACUAGUUAGAGUAAUCCCUAGUAUAGAGAAAAUAGUCAAAAUACAACCCUUAUUUUAUACAAGACCAAUUACAACCUGCCACAUUAGUGUACGGACGACCUAUAUGAAGGUGUGCGAGCAGGUUUUGAACAUUUUGUAAUUCUAAGUGAACUGUUUGUACAUUUUUACAAUAGAAGUAUGAUAUAAUGUUAUUAUUGUUUAUGUAAGUCGUAUGCAUCAUAAUUACGUCUUUAUUGUAAAAUUUUAUAAAUACUUUACGUAGAAUUAUACUUUAUUUAAAAAAUAUUACACUGUUCAGGACGGACACGUAGAACUGGUUUAUUGUUGGCGGCCAAUGCUAACCCAAUGGGCUCCUUCUUCGGUAAUCCAUACCCUCUGGUGAUGUUUAUUACAUAACCUGCGAUUAGUGGUGCAUAUUAGAGCCACUCCAUCCUCAAAGUCCUAAAAUAAUACAAGAAAGAUAUAGUCGAGAACAAAAGUAUAUACUAUUUGUCUGGAAUAUAAUAUUUGAGUGUGUAACUUUGUUAAUCUUAUCUAAGGAACAGAAAGGUUAGUCAUUCAUAUGUAGCUUUUCUCAUGUAAAUAAAUUAAGGCCUAGGAGGAAGUUGUCCAGAGUUUUGAACUGACUAGCGUAUCUGAUUAUAUAUUCCAGUAGCAUUCACAUACAAAGAAGGUCAGCAGGAAGAUACAUAUACGUCUCUCAACAUUUAUUAGCUAAGCUUGAUAAAAAGCAUUUGUGUUGCAAACCAACUAUGUUGCUCUACAUUUUGGUUACUUCAAACUAGUCAAUUAAAUUCUUUAGAUGAAAAUCUUGCUUGGAUUACAAUUUUUACAUUUUUCACGAGUGCAUUUUUCAAUCACCUUUUAUCUCAUAUACAUUAAAUCGCUACAUCACUUUCAAAAUUACCGUCCAGAAUUACCUUUUACUUCAUAUACAUCAAAUCGCUCCAGAAAAAUACAAACAAGUGCAUUUUUCAAUCACCUUUUAUUUUAUAUACAUCAAAUCUCUACGUCACUUUCAAAAUUACCCUCUAAAAUUAUCUUUUACUUCAUAUACAUCAAAUCGCUCUAAAAAAAAUAUAUAUAAACGGAUAGAUAGGGACUUCAUAUCUUCUUAUUAUUUAGUAAGAGAAUAUAUAUAUUUUUGGUCUAGGCUCUCUGUUGAUUUCUGUAAUGAAUCAAAAUCUAACGAAUUCUAUCUUGGACAGAAAGGUAAAUAUGCUAGAAUCUAUCAAAAUGUAAUCCUUUAAAUAAUUUAUUUCACCAAAGACAGACAAGGUUAAGAGUAAAGGCAACGGCAGUAGAAAGAAGAAAGUCCGUGUGGGACCAAAAAUUUAGAAGGAAGUGAUCAACCAGGAUGCUUCUACAGGACCAAAUCUUUUUCUGGCCUCUUAUAAACCCACCUCCCAAACUCCCUAGCUUUUACUCUGCACACAAGACUCUCAGAAAAAAUAUCCCCUGCUUUUUCCAGCCACCCUCUGAUUCUCUCCUCAUAUUCAAAAUUUUUCCCAUUCACAAACCCACAAAAACGCAUUUAGAUUUUUAUUUGGGUCUCCUUGAGGCCGCUCGCUCUCUCAUACAAGUGUGUUCUUUUCUUUCUGUAAGAGAUUUGGGAUGGAUUGCUCAAGAAAUGAAUUGUUUAGGCCGUUUUCCUCUGGGUUUUCUUGAAAUGUGUGGUUCUAGUUUUUCUAUAUUUUCGAUUUUUUUCCCAAAGUUAAAAUCUGGGUUUUGAAGAUUGAUCAGAUAUAUCACUCGGGUUGCUAACAAAAUCCAAUCUUUCAGCCUUCUUUUUUUCGUUCUAAUUUUGGUUUCUUUGAUUGGGUGAUCCAUCUCAAAUACUCUGCUUCCCCUGUUUUUCUUUAAUAUUAGCAGGGGAAUAUAGUAUACUAAGAGAGCGAGCGGCUGGUUAUAAUCUUCUUAUCCCUUUUUUUUUGGGCCGUUGGAUGAACAUUUUUGUGUCAAUGGCUUCACCUAAAAACAGUGGGAAAUCAAAGAAGUAUGUGGAAGAAUCACAACACUUGGCUGGAAAGGAGUGGGAUAGAGAUAGAAGAGGUCAAGGCAUCAGGGAAUUUGAUUUAAGCUUGGAAAGGCAGCAACAGUGGAGGCCAGUUUUUGAUGAAGCUUCCAUGGAAAAUAGGCCUUUCAAGAAGAUCAAAAGUCCUGAACGCCAAGACCCUUUCCAUCAAUCCUCCUCUUCUUUAGCUCAACAAACUUCGCAACCUCCUCUUUCCCUUACACCUCCUUAUGACAGCAGGGGAUCAAAUCCAUUAGCUUUUCCUUCUCCUUCUCCUUCUUCUUCCUCUUCAAGGCAUGUUUUUCCAUUUGCCUUUGAUGGAACUCAACAAUCUUUGGAAAGUCUACAGCAUUUAAGAGCACAUACAUUUGAUAGAAAUCAACAGAAUACAGUUCCUCUGUUUCGUCCAUUGCAGCAAAAUGAGCAGCAAAUGAUCUCGUUUGCUCCUCAUUACCACCACCAUCAGCAGCAGCAGCAGCAGGGUUUUGCAUUCCCACCUUAUUUUGCAGGGGAUGUGGCAGCAGGUUCACAACAUCAACAGCAGCAGCUUUUGCAGUAUUGGAGUGAUGCAUUAAGUCCUAGAGGAAGGAUGAUGAUGAUGAAUAGGUUGGGGCAGGGGCAGGAGCCCAGGACAUUGUUCAGGCCCCCAAUCCAGCCAAUUAACACCACAAAGCUGUACAGAGGUGUUAGGCAGAGGCAUUGGGGCAAAUGGGUAGCCGAAAUUCGUCUCCCUCGAAACAGGACUCGUCUUUGGCUAGGCACAUUUGACACAGCUGAGGAUGCAGCCUUGGCCUACGAUCGCGAGGCGUUUAAGUUGAGAGGGGAGAAUGCUAGGCUCAAUUUUCCUGAACUCUUCCUUGGUAAAGAGAAGGCAGAAUCAUCAUCUGUAGCAGGACCGGAUUCAUCAGCCUCGGACCCUCCAACUCCCCAUGACAAUUCGGCAUCAAGAAGCGGGGAUCAGCCACAGCAGCCUGAUCAAGCUCCUGAAGGGCUUAAUAUGGAUGUGUACAUCCCAGAGCUGCCAGCAGCUGCAUUAAUGGGAGAUAAUCCUGAUGAUGACUCUGGGCUGGGAUCGAGCGAAGUUACGGCUAGCGAUGAAGUUCCAGCCUUUGCAGAGAGCAGUUCUGCUGCAGCUGAAGGUGCAUUACAUCCACAGUCAUCUGAGUUAGUUUGGGGUGAAAUGGCUGACGCUUGGUUCAAUUCAAUACCAGCAGGUUGGGGUCCAGGUAGUCCAGUUUGGGAUGAUUUGGAUUCGUCCAAUAAUCUCAUGUUACCUCCUGAUCUUCCCUUUGUCAACCUUCAUCAACAAAGUUCUCAUGAUUCUGAUUCUCAGAGGCAGCUUGAUAAUGCUGCUUCAUCUUCUUCGACUUCAUAUCCAGUGAGACCCUUCUUUUGGAAGGAUCGAGAGUGAAACUUUUAACUCAGAAUCUGCAGCAUUAGGCUCAAACUAGUCAUCCCACUUGCACUCAGACAUGCAUGGACACAGGCACAAAAUUUGCAUUCCUUUCCCUCUUCUCCUCAAAAUUCUUUCUAGUAGGAGUGCAGUUUUAGACAAUCUCCUCAAUUCUUCUUUUCCUUUUUCUGGUCACACACGUGAUACAUGCUAUGACUCCUUAGAUCCUUCACUUUUUUUUUCCCUUUCUUUCCUUUUUUUUUCUUUUUUCGAAUUCCUAAUCAUGUCCUUUGACUACAAAUUCUUCCUCGUCUCUUUUCCACCACUCCAUCCUCAGGUUGCUGAAUUUUUGCAGAACAACCUCUGGAAUUCAUUCUGCUUGCUUUCUUUCUUUUUCCAUAUUGGCCUUUAACCUCUUUUUCACUUUCUCGUACAAACCCAGCCAUCCUGUCUCCUCCUCACCAGUCAGCAAAGAAAGGGCUGCAUAUUAUAGGCCCUCCUUCUGCAGUGGCAAAUUGAUCAGUGCCUUAAUUACUUCGUUGUGCAAAGAGUAAUGCUGUUUUGUUCAUGUCAAUGCUAUUCCUUAGAACAUGUCAUGCUACGAUUCUAUGUAGAACAUAUUAAUGUUCUAUCUAUUGGUAAUUUUCUGGUGAUGGAUGUUUCAUUCAGCAGCCUAGAAACCAGCAAAAGGGGGACAGUUUUUUUUCCCUCCUUACAUCCAUUCCUCACGAACUUUUGAUCUGUGAGGAUGGGAAAUUAGAGAAGUUAGUGUACAUUUUCUCUAGGUGUGUGUUAUGAUAUUAUCAUAUUAUGGUUGUAAUUCUGCAUUUCCUAUUAUGCUGACAUUAUUAGAGCAGCUUGCAGUUUCUUUCUCAUCUCUUGUUUUCCUUGUCAUACUUUUGACUACCUGUUUUAGUAUUUUAUUCCAUUGUACGAGCACUAGAGGUUAAGUUUGCCAUGGUUUAUCAUGAAUUCUACACCUGCAUGUAAAUUUUUUUUUUUAAGAAAAGAAAAACUACUAUUCCAUGACACAGUUGUCUCUUUAGGGCCUUAAAAACGCCAAAAACUCUCUCAUGGGAGCUUUACCAAAAUUAGCAACCUUUGCAUCAACUACGAAUAAAACAAGAGUAAAUCUUAUAUACGGUUAGUGUACACAUUAUCAUCGUUUAAUUCAUGAUAUGUGUGAAAAAGUUAAAUUUCAAAUUAAAAAUUUGCAUAGUUAUCAUUCAUUCAACGCUGACAGUGUAUACACUGUGCGUGUAGGAAAAGAUUAAUCCAUAAAACAAUAAAAAUGUAACUUUAUCUUGUUAUAGUGCAAUUUAGCCAAUAGCGAGGAAGAAAUGUGCAUACCAAUUUUUACUUUGGCACACAUUUCUAUUUCUAGUUGUUAGAUACAAGAUGGCCUUGGCAAUACAUGACACUUAAAUUCAACAUUUUGACAUUCAUCUUCUUUAACCAUAUUUGACCUUUCAAGAUUGGGUAUUAGUCUUUAUGAAGGUAACAAAAAAUUGGUACUUGAUUGUCUUGAUCCAUCAAGGAUAUGAGACACUAACUAUGAUUACAGCUUCCCUUUGGACUCCGCCGCGCGCCCCCCACUUCAAAGUCAACUUUGAUGCCUCAGUAUCCACUAUUCACCGUCUUGUUGGGAUUGGUGUGGUUAUUCGUGACUGUGAGGGCCAGUUUAUUGCCGGCUUAUCCAGGAGAAUCCCAAUCCAAACUAGUGCAGACCUGGCAGAGGCUCUUGCUGCAAGGGAGGCGGUAUCGCUGGCUAGAACUUUGAUGAUUCCAAGCUUCAUACUUGAGGGGGACGCGUCCUCAGUGGUUAAGCAAAUUUGUAGCUCAGAUGAGAUUCUCUCUGACCUCGGCACUGUUAUAGAGGACAUCCGUCUUUCCUUGCUCAAUCUACCCAUGUUGAACGUGGUCUGGACUCCUAGAGAAGCAAAUAGGGUUGCGCAUAGUUUAGCACAGUUUGCUAGAUCUUCCAGUCUCUCUGAAUCUCUCUGGAACUUCCCCCGGCUUUUGCCAAACAGUUGGUGUUGGACGAUAUCCAGCAAUCUAAUUAAUACAACCUCUUUUACUUUUUCAAAAAAAAAAAAACUAUGAUUACAGCUUCAUUUAUUCAUACUUUCAAAUUAUCUAGGUUCAAAAUAAAUUCUAUCUUUGCAAGUGCAAAAUUAAUAUCUGCAUAUACCAUCCAAGAAAAUUUACACUUAAUACUAUCACCCUACAUUCCCAAAUUAGCCAUAAAUUUAGAAGUUUGAAAUGAUAUUUUACACACACACACACACUUGACACAUCAAUGCUGAAAAGCACAAGAAUAGAAUCUCAAAAUGCUCCUUUUAUCUUGUUAUAAAGAUGCUUCUUCUUUGGGGAAUCUUCCUAUCCCUUGAGCAUAACUUAUCAGACCCAAAAUUAUAUUGAGUCUUGGAAUAACAAUGGGUGGCCAUGCACAAACGACAUAGUAGUUAAUAAGCAUGCGUUUCUUAAUUAAGUAUAGCACUUAAACAAAUCUCUUAAUUAAUCCUCUAAGAUGGGGUGAUUGACAAAAUAUAUAAUUUGAAUUUAGUGGGCCCAGUUUGCCGGCCCAUGAUAUCAUCUCUGGCUUUCUUGGUUGUGACGGCAGUGCACUAGGUGACGAGAAAAUGAUAUGGUUAAUAAUUAGUAUAAUUAAUUAAAAAAGUAAAAUAUCUAAUCUUUGUGCUAAGAGCCUAAGACAGCCAUAAUCCAUCUUAUUAGCUUGGUCCCCACCACCAUUUACCUAAUCCUUAAACCACGCCCAACAUUUUGAUGUCAUGGUAAGGCUGCUAGUUAAAAAAUUCAUGAAUGGCUGGAUUGUAGUAAAUAUGGUAAUCCUUCCAUUUCUUUCUUUCUUUUCUUUUUAGUACAUCAUUUUUGUAAUUCAAAGGAAAUGGGAAAAUGGUGAGUUGCAAUGAUAAUUAUGAGGGUCAAAUCUUAUCUUAUUGCCAAGAUUUGUUGGAACUCAUCAUUAUUUGUAUUGAUUUUUUGAAUCUGUUGUAUCUAUUGAUUUCACGUCUGUAUGUGUCUGUAUCAUGUUUGAUUUGAUGUAUUUCUGCCGUUACUGCAGAUUUAUUGACCCAAAUGAUAUUUUCUAUUGAAAAAAACAAUAAUAAUCUUGGCUUAUUGCCUGAAGGAAAUAUGGGUUUAUCACUUGAUGCCUCCCUUCAAUUCCACAGCUUGAUAUGUAAUUUUUAUUUUUCCUCUCCUAUGGCAUAACGUAACUAUAAGCAUGAUCUAUUUCCUAAUAUCAUAAGUAAUCAGUCAUACUUCUAUUUAUCCUCAAAAUUAAGAAAAAUAACUUGGAAAGUCUUCAUGUUUAUCAAAUUCUUCUAAUGCAUAAUACUCUCUAGAUUUUGUACAACAAUAAUGUUUUCUACCUAAAUCAACAUCAUAACUAACGACUUUUAUGCAGAAAAAUAGGUUAUGAACUUUCUUUUCCCCCUAAAUACGGCGUACGAAAGAUUAAUCCAUAAACUUACAUAAAAUUUUCAAACAAAUAAUGGGUUCAGCACUAAAGCUUCAAAGGGCAAGAACAUUACAUAGAUAUCUAUUUUACAAACUGCUUUUUAGUCUAAAGUAUAAGAGGAGAAAAACUAUUUUUUGUUUCUUCAGGGAAAUAUAUGAUUAUGAAUGAAAUCAGCGAAAGCAAAUACUGAGAAGAUUUUGUUAAGCUUCACCUGAAUAAUUCUUUAGAUUUACUCAUAAAGAAUCAUCCAGACCCGUAGAAAAAGUCGAAAUAUACAUAAUCAACAUUCAAGCUGCUCCAGAUGAAGCUCAACUAGUUUAUGAUUGACGAAGACUAAAAUAGUGCCUUGAACACAAAAGUUAGUAAUUUUUUUUUAAUAGGAAGACUAAGACUUCUGACCAAAUCAUGAGAAUUCUGACCAUGACGGGAAUUUGUGGACAGUUUAAAAAUCUUAUAAUGUAUGUAGUAAGCAUAAUUUAUCAAAAUUGGCUUGCAAAGGUUGGCACCAACCUAAAUUGCUGAUAUGAGACUUGAUAGCAUUCUAGCCACAAACUCUAUAGCUUUGUACUGGUUACCGAAAGUGUCAAAGGAUUUAGGUGACUUACUGCCUCUGCGGGGAAUUCUAUUCAACCCCAAAAUAAAUUCCUUCACUAAUGUCUCCAUCUCCUUAAUGGCAAUUCUCUCUUUCGUACCUUAUGAAAGUCUUUGACCUCACAUUUCUACAAUCAUAGGUCACAAACAAAUAAUACAAGUUGACAACUCUUUUCUUAUUUAUUUUGUUUUGUACUUCAUUUAUGUUUAUAUAUAUAUAUAUAUAUAUAUAGAAAUAUAUAUUUGCAUUUUAAUAUGCUCUAGAUCUUUUGUAGUAGUUUAAAGUGACUUGUAUUUCUAGCAAUCAUCUCAUGUAAGUUAUUCAUUUUUUCAUUGGAUUAGUCAGAGAUGAUUGAGGGUUAACUUGGCGUGUUGUAUCAACUCACUAAAAGAGUUCGUGUAGGAUAAUAAAGUCAUAAUUUGCUGAAAAUUUAUUGUGCAAAAGAGUUGGACCCAUGACACACCAUAAUGGACAAAUUAGAAAUCAAAUUAUCACUAUUGAUUUCUCAUUGAAUUUACAACUAACCCCCAUUGUUUACAUGCAUAACAUCAAGGACUAAUGUGGAAUUAUACAAAAAUUCAGGCGUGACUACCAAAAAUUUUGAGUUGGGCCUAGCUGGGAUAUAGAGUGCAAAGGCCCUGAUAACUGCCAAAAAUCUUUUUUGACACAGCGGCCUUUUAAGAGCCUCAUUGGGCUCUUAUCAAGCCCACUUGGUUUUUUUUUUUUUUUUUUGGUAUUUCCAACUAAGUAGGCUUUUAUACCCAAAUAAAUUGAAGUAUCUCUAAUAAAAAAGUUACUGACAAGACAAGUAGGGCUUGAAACGAGUCAAGUCAAAUUAAGUUUUGAUUUAAUCUAUCUGAAGCUCGAUUUAAUUUUAUCAAGGUCAAACUUGAACUCAAACUUGAACUGAGCUCUCAAUAAAAAAUACAAGAUCGAACUCGACCUCAAAUUCAAGGCAAAUUGAGCUCGAACUCGAGUUUAAAAAAAAUAAAAAUAAUUAUUUUAUAUUUUAAAAAAUGAAUAAAAUAAUAUUUUUUAAAAAAAUAAUAAAAUAUUAUGAAUAUGUAAAUUUGAGUUAAUUAACGAGUUAAUGAGCUGAAUAUCUUUAAACUUGACUUCGAACUUGAGCUCGAUUAAUACUGAGUUCGAGUCGAACUUUGAUUUGAACUAGUUGCGAUCGGCUCGAUUGACAUGCACCCUACUGACUAGGGAUGAGCAAACAGUACAAAUUCGAUAAUUCGGUUAGCUGAAUUCGGUGAAUUCUGUUAUUUGGCUUUUAGAAAUCUAAACCGCUUUCAAUUUCGAAUUGGCUAUAACCGAAUUCAUUUCGUAACCGAUUUCGAAUUCAGAAAUGGUAGUGAAUUCGGUUAACCAAAUUCAUUUAUAAAAAAAAAAGCUGAUUUUUUAAAAAUUAUUAUUGAUUUGAUCCCCAAAUUUAUUCAUAAUUUAACACAUUACUUAUGUUCUAAUCAUUUUGUGGUUUUAUUUAAUUGGCAUUUAUUUGAUCGCUUAUACCUAGAAUCCUUAGUCUAUGAUUUAAGGAACACAUAAAAAGUGAUUAAUUUAAACUAGAAUAAACCUUAGACUAUACAAUGAUUAGUGAUAAUUUAUGAAUUUAUAAUUUACAAUGAUUAAUAAUAAGUAAUAUUAGUUACAAACUUACAAAUUACAAUGAUUAGUAACAAGUUAUAUUAGUUACAAACUUAUAAUUUAUUUCAAAUCAAAAUAAAACUUAUUUACUUACAUAUGUUAUUGUGAAAGUCAAUACACUAAUACAUUGAUUUGCAGUUCAUAUGCAUUCACUCACACUGCUUAGUUGUCUUGUCUAUAUUUAAAGCCCUAAGAUUAGUGAAUAGAGAAUAUGAAUUUUUAUGUUAAAUAUGUAAUGUAAAUUUAGAGCACAUUAAUACUUGCAAUUUACAGCUUACGCGUUCAAAUAUUUAAUAAUUCAAACAUGAAUGAUGUAUCAAAUUACCAAUAUCUAAAUUCUAAUUACUAAUUAUGUUUAUUGUUUAAUAUUUAGUAUUAUACAUAUAUGUAUUAAUUAUUAUCUAAUUCUAGUCAUGUUACUCAUGUAUAAAAUAAUAAGUAUUAUAGUUAUGUUAUAUUGUUAUGUAUUACUAUAUAUUUGUAUUAUUGUAGUCAUAUAACAAUUAACAAAUAGUAAAAUAAUAUAUUGUACAUUAUUAGAUAUUAUUAUUAUUAUAAGUACAUGAUAAUACCAUAUACUAACUAUUAUUAAUAGCAUUUACCUAUAUAAUAUAAUAACAUAUUAGUAGUAUAUACUAAUACUAAAUAGCAUUUAUCUAUAUAUUAUAUAAUUUUAUAAACUAAUUUGGUAUUCGAAUGCAGUAAUGCGGUACCCUAUUUCAUUUUACCGAAUUUGAAUGCGAAAUCGGUUAUUACCAAAUUCAUAAUCUUAUUAUCUAUUUUAUACUAUAUUAGAAUUCGGUGAAUUUGGUAUGUAACGAAUUUAUACCAAAUUACCAAAUAUCUGAUUUUAAAUUAUCAAAUUAAAUUUGAAUUCGAUUAUGAAUUCGGUAUAUGACGAAUUUGCUCACCCCUGACAAUGGCCAGGAUAGCACCAAAUGCAUUCCUACCUAUCAAAUGGAAAUCCAGAGACCAAAUUUUGAUUGGAGGAAUGGAAGCUUAGUUGGCAGUUUUAUUAUCCGUCUCAUUUCCCUCCCCAUCAUCAUCAUAUCCUACUAUGACAAUAAUGUCUGCUUUGUUAUAGACAGACGAUUUCAUAUCUGUAGACCUGUUUUAGAGACUUGUUUUUAAGUACACUGAACUUGAUCACACAUAAGAUUCUGGUUCUUGGGAAACAUAGCUCAAUUUCCUUGUCAUCUGCUACAACUUGAUUGCAUGGCUUUGCAAGCGGCUGCUUUACUUCCAUCUGCUCUAUCCCUCCACAAGGAGGUAUGUCCAUGUCACAAGUGUCUGUACCAGUAAUUUUCUGAUUUCUUGAUGCUACUGUUUGAGUUAAUGAAGAAAUUACUGUUACUUCUGUUAACAGGGCAAGUCGAAUGCAGCUCUGAAGGAGACAACGCUAUUUGGCGUUUCAGUGUCAAAUCAUCUUAAAGCUGAUUUUAUUUCUUCUUCCAAAUUGAGCAAGGUAAUGUGUACUCGGGUUCUCUCAGUUUUGGCAUGUUUUGGAUUGUACUUGAGAAAAUGGUUUGUGAGAUGGAGCAAGAUUAAAUAGGGGUGCUAAUUGAUAUUCUGUGGGUGGAUGAAGAUGUGCUCAUUUUCUUGAAUUCAGGGAUUAAGCCUGUUAAUUAAGUAUUCUUUUGAGUGCGAAUGAUCAAUAAUCCUUAACUACCAAUUGAAUGUUCUGAUAUCCUAUUUAAUUGAUUUUUGAUAGCCUAUGAUACGAGUACUGCAGAAUCUUGUUGGUGCAGAGGAGGCCAAGAUCCCUAGUUUCCUUUUUUUUUUUUGUUGGGGGGGGGGGGUUGUUUUAAUCACAAAACACAAAACCUUGCAGCUUAUGUCCUUUAUCUACCAAAGUUGUCGGCUUAUCUGUUUUCUUCUUUAAUCAUGCAUUGAACAUAUAAUAAUCCAGUCAGUCAGAAGAGCUUGUUAAUCUUGGAUGAAGGUGCUAAAUAGAAUUCAUUGUUGCAUUCCUAAAACCUCUUUGUUCAAUAGAGUGCAUAAUGUAUGUGUUUAUCACCAAACAGAUUCUCAAGUCAAUUUACGCUCGUAUACCAUAGCUGCUAGUCCAAUUAAAAAGAGAAGAACAGCGAUAAACAUCCCUCUUUCUUCCUUCCCAGAUAGAAAUUACACAAGAUGGGCAGUGAACCUCAAAUGUGUCAAAUUCAUCAAAGUUCAACAUGAAACGUAUGCUAAAAGUUCAUAAAACUGCAACUUGGAGCCUUGGAUUAGUACUGUUUCACAAACUUAUGCGUGCUUGGACCAAAACUACUGGCUAAAGCAUUUGGUUCCAUGUUUGUAGGAUUUUAGGAGGAGAUCGUCACUUGGAACUAUUAGAGCACAAACAGUAUCAGCUCCAGAAAUCAGCCAGGCUGCAUCAGAAGAGAAGAAGACUUUGAGAAAAGGUAAUGUCAUAAUUACAGGAGCCUCCUCAGGAUUAGGUCUGGCUGCAGCAAAGGCAAUCAGUGAAACGGGAAAAUGGCAUGUCAUCAUGGCUUGCAGGAAUUUCCUCAAGGCUGAGAAAGCUGCUAAAUCAGCUGGCAUUUCAAAGGAAAACUAUACGGUCAUGCAUCUUGACCUUGCUUCACUUGAAAGUGUACGUCAAUUUGCAGACGCAUUUCGACAAUCUGGGAGGCCACUUGAUGUGCUAGUUUGCAAUGCUGCAGUAUACUUCCCCACUGCAAAAGAGCCAACAUAUACAGCUGAAGGUUUUGAGUUAAGUGUUGGCACGAACCAUCUUGGUCAUUUCCUCCUUUCAAGGUUGCUGCUAGAUGACCUGAAGCAGUCAGACUACCCCCAGAAACGCCUUAUAAUUGUUGGGUCCAUAACUGGUAAUCUCUACUCACCACAUGUGCAGACUGCACCAAGUGAUCUUUGAAAACUCUAGUCAAUUUCUGAAUCUAAUAUAGGAGCAACUCAAUGAAGCUGGCAAAAAGAAGAAAUCCCUGGUACAUUUAGCGAAAAUGAGUCAUUAUCUUGCUAGGAUUCAAAAUUUCAAAUCAUAGGAUCAGAUGAUGAGGGAGUCAGCUACUAAACUAGGCAUUUAUUCCUGAGAAGAACUUUGUUCUGAUAAUGCAAUUAGGUCCUUAAGGACAGUGUCUUUGUUUCAGUUCAGUUUCAUAGAGAGUAUAUUUCUGUUCUUAACAGGUCUAAAGAAAUUGAGCUGCUGUAUUUAUAGACCUUUUAUGCUUUUGUCCCAUCAGGAAACACGAAUACCUUGGCAGGCAAUGUGCCACCAAAGGCUAACCUUGGGGAUCUAAGGGGACUGUCAAGUGGCUUGACUGGACGAGAUUCCUCACCAAUGAUAGAUGGUGGACAGUUUGAUGGAGCAAAAGCCUACAAAGACAGCAAAGUUUGCAACAUGCUCACUAUGCAAGAAUUCCAUAGAAGGUUUCAUGAGGAGACAGGCAUCAGCUUCGCCUCUCUCUACCCAGGAUGCAUUGCUGAAACUGGUCUUUUCAGGGAACACAUCCCACUGUUCAGGCUUCUCUUCCCCCCAUUCCAGAAGUACAUUACAAAAGGCUAUGUGUCUGAAGAAGAAGCUGGAAAAAGACUUGCACAGGUCAGUGAAAAUCACACAGCAAGAUAGAUAUGCAUCCAGUUUUGCAAACAGACUUACAGUUUCUUUCUGAACCACAGGUAAUAAGUGAUCCUAGCCUAUCAAAAUCAGGUGUUUAUUGGAGCUGGAACAAGAACUCAUCUUCAUUUGAAAACCGGCUAUCAAAAGAAGCCAGUGACUCAGAAAAGGCACGUAAACUGUGGGAGAUCAGUGAAAAGCUUGUUGGAUUAGCUUAAAGAAAACUUGGAGGGCACAACUCAAGUCUCUGUCAUCAUAAGCAAGGUUUGUGUAGUUAAGAUUGACCUGGAAAGAAAAUUACAAUGAGCGAUUCCUAAAACAAAAUAACUUGCGCCUAGAAAGAUUAGAAAGGUGAGCCAUCCUUUGUACAGAUGAGGCCUUUGUAAAAAUAGCUUUGUCAUUUUGCUCAUGUGACAUUUCAAUUAUAGUGUGUCUCUUUCAUAUGCUCUGAAAAUUUUCGUUUUCCCCUUGACAGAGAAUGUUGUCAAUUGUUUUAUUGAUAUGUUUUUGGUUAAUGCGAUUUAUACAAGAAUACUUUCAUUGAGAACUAUAUUCAUUCCUAGAGCAAGAAACUCAAAGUUGUGGAGAUUUUCAACUGCGAGCUUACCUUCUCCCAACAGAGUUUCUUCGGAGUUCCAGACUAACCUCACCAUAGGCUUGAUGCUUCGGCACUGAUCAGCACGCAUUCCAUGACCAAGAUAGAGGUUUGCUUAAGGGUUUUGUACACUGCCGCCUGAUCUUGUGCUUCAAUUGCCUGGGCGCAAAUUACAGACAACUGAAAACUACACUUCCUUUGGCAUCACCUUGAAGGUGUAGACUGUGUUCAAUGGCAAAAGUCACGCCUUCUUUCUCAUUUUGCCUUCCACUUGAAACGGUGCAAGUAAACACAAGGCAACUGAAUUUGAGCACCAUUACAAUUUUGCCUUCACACAUGCACAGGCGUUAACUUCUUUCCUGUAUCGAGUCAGGCCUCUAGACUCAUAUUAAAGGCGUGAAGCUACAACUGCAAGUGAAUCACGCCUUCAAGUGCCAGUGCCGUCUGUUCCAUUUUUGUCCCCAUCUCCAAAAGUGCAUUUCCAAUUUUUCCGCUACAGAAAAAAUUCCCGGGAUACAUCAUCAGAAAAUCAUUUAGUAUAGUUCCAGGCAACAACUGAAAGUCAAACUCAAAGCCCUCUGAUCAUUUCACAGAGGUUUUAGCCCAGAAGACCCAAUAAACAAAUGUUAAAAAAAAAAAGAAGGUAAAAACUUUGCCCAAUCUUCUCUGCAUUUUGGCAGAUGAUUCAUGGGUUUUACUCUGACAGUUUUGGCUAACUUAAAGAGGCCAAGAAACCCAUAAAAGAUUUUGGUUAAAUCGCAGACUUUUGCUGAUAUUAUUGCCUCCAUCUCCGUCUUGAUUCUUAAAUUCCACCCCCUUCCUUACUAAAAAAAAAAAAAAAGAGUAUCCAAUAAUAUUGUCUGUUGCUAUUUUUGCAAUUUGCAGCCAGUAUUUACUACCUCUAAAGAAGGAAGAAACUCAUAAACAGUCUUGGCUCUUGAGUCAAUCCCAGUUUUUCCUCUACUCUUCUUGGAGCUUAGGAAUGGGUAUUCCACAGCGUUGUCUUCUUUUGCUUUGAAGAACUAAGAGCAAGUACAAAAAAAUGGAUCUUGAGCUAACUGAUAAUGCUGGUGAUGCCUCAGAUCAUCAUAAGCUGGUGGAAAAGAGAAGGAAGAGUACAAGGAAAUUCGUUCUUGCUUGUGCUGCUUUUGCAUCUAUUAACAAUGUCCUUAUCGGCUAUGGUAUGUUAUUUGACUUUGAUUUUCAUGUCCACUUCGAUUGGUAAAUGAUUAGCCCUUUUCUUAUAUAUCAGAUUUUGCACUUUUAGCUGAUAAACUUUGCUCUGUUCAAUGUUUAGAGUGUUUGUUCAUCUUUGACCACAAAAAAAAAACAAAUAAAUAAUUUGAGAUUAGACGAAGAUCAAACACUGAUAAAUCCUGGUUUUUCGAUAUCAUGGUGAUACUUUUAGCCGCUUUGGAGAGAAAAUAUGGAAAAAGAGUGUAUUUUUUUUUUUUAGAUUUAGUAAUGUUCUUCCCAUAUUGAGCUCUUUGAUCUACUAGACUUGUACAGGUUCUCCGGUCUCUGUUUUCACUUUUUGAUGUUUGUUAAGCUAUUGUUAACAAAUAAAGAAUCACUCUGAUAGUAGCAUAACCUCAGUUGUGUCAUUCCUUAGCUCUGUAAUCCUUAAUGUGCCUUUAAUGGGCCAUCAAGGACAGUGAGUACAUUGGGUCGAUAGAUAAAACAGGGGUAUGAUUAUAUGGCAAGAAUAUCAGGCUUUCAUGCAUCUAUCAUGAUUGCAAUGAAGCAGCAGGCAAGCAUCGUGCAAGUAUAAACUGUCAAGUGCCGUGAAUUCAUUUUACUGGCAUAUCUGCUGUCAAAUGGUAUGUAGUAGUGUCUCUCGAAAUCUACAUAUUAAUGUGUUGUUUGGGCAAUUAAACUUUUUAAGAUGAGCUAGUUAGGCCAAUCAGAUAUUCUUUAGUGGUUCCUCCUGAGGUUACAUGAUGUUCUUUUAUAUUUCUUGCUGUGACUUUUGUUAGUUGACGCUGAUAAUAAGGGUAAAGAGAAAUUUCAGCUCUAGCAUGUGCAUAUGGCACCAUGUGACUUGAGGUCGGUUUUUUCGGUACACAGAUGUAGGUGUCAUGAGUGGGGCAAUACUAUUUAUUAAAGAAGAUUUGAAGACAACAGAGGUGCAAGAAGAAAUUUUUCUUGGUAUCUUGAGCAUAAUAUCAAUUUUGGGUAUUUUAGCUGGUGGAAGAAUAUCUGAUGCCAUUGGGAGAAAACCAGCAAUGGGUUUAGCUGCUUUUGUCUUCCAAGCAGGAGCAGUCAUAAUGACUGUAUCCCCCACAUUUGAGGUACUAAUGAUAGGAAGAAUCUUGGCUGGAAUUGGAAUUGGUUUUGGAGUCAUGAUUGCACCUGUUUACAUUGCAGAGAUAUCACCUGCAUUUGCUAGAGGUUCCCUCUCCUCCUUUCCUGAGAUUUUCAUAAAUCUGGGAAUCCUUUUAGGUUUUGUCUCCAACUAUGCAUUUUCUGGUCUUCCAGCACACCUAAACUGGAGGAUAAUGCUUGCAGUGGGAAUUCUGCCUGCAGUCUUCAUUGCAUUUGCACUAUGCAUAAUUCCUGAGUCACCACGGUGGUUAGUUAUGCAGAACCGAAUUCAAGAGGCAAGGGCUAUUCUGUUGAAAACAAAUGAUAAUGACACAGAGGUAGAUGAGAGGCUAUCAGAAAUUCAAUUAGCUGCUGGAAUUACUGAUGCCGAGAAGCAUCAAAGCAAGGCUGUGUGGCGUGAAUUGCUAAGUCCUACUCCAGCACUUCGCAGGAUGAUGAUCACUGGUUUCGGAAUCCAGUGUUUCCAACAGAUUACUGGCAUUGAUGCAACUAUUUAUUAUAGUCCCAAGAUCUUUAAAGCUGCUGGUAUUGAUGGUAACUCAAACCUUCUUGCAGCAACAGUGGCUGUGGGGGUUACAAAGACGGCAUUUAUACUUGUAGCUAUUGUUCUUAUCGACAAAGUUGGGAGAAAGCCACUGCUCUAUGUGAGCACAAUUGGUAUGACUUUAUGUCUGUUUACAUUGGGAACCAGCCUUUCCAUUCCGGGAGAGGGAUCUGUCGGAAUAGCAUUGGCAAUACUAUCAGUCUGUGCAAAUGUAGCUUUCUUUUCCGUGGGUAUUGGUCCCGUUUGUUGGGUUUUGACUUCUGAAAUCUUUCCUUUGAGGCUAAGAGCUCAAGCAUCAGCACUUGGAGGAGUUUGCAGCAGAGUAUGCAGUGGCCUGAUUGCUAUGUCCUUCCUCUCUGUUUCGCAUGCAAUUACUACGGCUGGGAUCUUUCUUGUGUUUAGUUUACUUUCAGCAAUUUCUGUUGCCUUUGUCUAUACAAUGGUUCCAGAAACUAAAGGUAAAUCUCUGGAGCAGAUUGAGCUGCUGUUCCAAAAUAAUAUCUGCGGAGGUUUUGGUAUCAAAAAUUUCAUCUCCUCAAAGUUUCUUGGCGACAAACAUAAAGUGUCAGCACGCACAGCUUGAGAUGAUACAAGUAGGACAGUUUGGGCAGGAAUUUGUAGCCUCAACUUUUGGUUAGUCCUACGUAUAGAGCCACAUGUAUCUCUUUCCUUUUUUUUUUUUCUUUUUUUUGUACAUAAUGGUCUUGCUUCUGACUGCUUACUCUUCAAUAUCAAAAGCCUCCUUUUAAUUUCAUUAAAAAUGUUUUAUACCACAGCAAGAUCUGUAUUCUGAACGGUAAAAGGACCAGCUCUUGUAUUUUUUUUUUUUUCCUUUUUUUGGGUUGGAUAUAACUUGUCAGACAAUGGUUUAUAGCUGUCAAGGCUAAUUUCACUUUUCACUCUUCAACUAUAUCUAGAUUUCAACUUUGGUCUUUGAACUUUAAAAUGGAAUACUUUAGUCCCUAAAAUAUAAAAAUUUCUUCCACUUAAAUAAAAUCAUUGAUGAGAGCGGGAUCAAGUUUAUACUUAAGUGUGAUAAAUUUUAUAUUUUAUGGAUUAAAGUAGAAUAAUUUUUAUACUUUAGGAACUAAAGUGUUCUAUUUUAAAAUUUAAGAAUUUAACACUUUUUGACAGUAAGAAGAACUUUAAGAAUCAUAUUUUGACCACCAAACAAACAUAGUGGUUAAUUUUUUAACAUAUAUGGUCAUAUUUAUAAGGCCUAAAUCUUUAAGCCCAAUAAAUUUUGAUUUAAACUUUUUUUUUUCAAUUGAGAUUAUUUUUUCGUUGAACUGAUUUUUAUGAGUAGCAUUCAAUACUAAUAAUGAUUUUAAGAAAACACAUUAUUAAUAUCCAUAGAUUAGUAAUUAGGAAGAUCAUUGAACUUGAUCUAGUGAUGCUGUCUCCAAAACUGAUUCACCGGAUUGGAUCGUAUGUGAUUAGGAAGUUAUGCGGAUCAGAUUCGUGUUUCAUAUUCGGCUAUUGGUCUUUUUAUUUUUUAUUUUUCUACUUGGGCAAAAGUUCGAGGUCCUUCACUGCAAUUAACCUUUGUUGAAAAUCAGCAUUGGAAGAAAAAUAUAAAAAGGUUGAAAAUUUAAGGCGAAUACGCAAACAGUAACUGUAGAGGAUCAAGAAAUGGUGAACUGGGGAAUUGCAGAACUCCACAGAAACUCGGGCAACUGGGACAACCUAGUUAAGGAUAUAGUGAAGAUGGAGAAAAAGAUUUUCCCAAAACACGAAUCACUUGCUCGAUCGUUUGAUGAAGAACUCAAGAAAAGGAACAGUGGGCUGCUUUACUCCCAGGUUGAAGAUGGAGAUGUUGCUGGCUAUGUCAUGUACUCUUGGCCUUCUUCGAUUUCUGCUUCCAUUACAAAACUUGCAGGUUCUAUUUCUAUACUCAUCAUCUUGCAGCCAUUAUUAAUACUGGUUCGGUUUUCUUGUUGAAAUUUAUUUGUUGCGCUAAUCCCUUUCGUGGGAUUCGUCAUGUUCGAAUUUGAGAAUUCAGGAGCUUAAUUGCUCUUAUUUGUUCAAUAAUACGGAUUAUAGGGAGCUAUUAAAAAGAGCCCAGUUGUAAAAUUACUGGGUAGCCGGAACAAGUCUGUCAUCUUCAAUUCUGUUCUCAGUUUUCAGCGCAAGUCUUUUUUCUUUUUCUUUUUUUUUCAUUUUUUCUUAAGAGCUACUGUUUUAGUAGGCACAGUUAUAAUUUAUCAAAAAUGAAAAGAAGCGUAAAUGGUUAGGUAGCAUGGAAUUUGAACUGAUUAUUCAGAGUUUGAGUUCUUCUAUUAGCAAAUGCAGGUUGGUUGAUAGAAAAUUGACUCAGCAUUGAGAAUCGUUAUAGGUUUUUUAUGCACAGACUACAGAUUAAAUUAGACUUCUAUCAUAAUUGUGCUGAUUUGUCCACAGAUCGAAGUUAGGCUUGGUACAACUAGUGUACCAACUUAGCAACAUAAAGGCGAAAAAUGCAGAUUGCUAGUUGUGCAUCUUAUAAAUGGUGGGUCUGUGUAACAGAAUGUUUCUUUGUUGAAUUUCUGCUUAGUUUUGUCUUUUGCACUGAUUGAUCUUAUUCCUUUUGUUUUGCAACACUACAAUUUGUCUUCCUCCCCAAAUUUCUUAAUUCAUGUCAUUUUCCAGCAAAAUUUCUGCUUAGUUUUGUCUUUUGCACUGAUUGAUCUUAUUCCUUUUGUUUUGCAACACUACAAUUUGUCUACCUCCCCAAAUUUCUUAAUUCAUGUCAUUUUCCAGCAAAAUUGGCAUGUGUUAAGGGCUUAAGGCCCCUAGCCCUUAACACGAAAUUAGACGUGGGGUAGUCACCCCAAUCACAUCUGCUUCUAGGAGGUACCUGAGGCCUGUAGGUGGUGUAUCCAUUGAACUCUGUGAUAGCUGGUGCUGGACUGCUUCUUUGGCUAGCCUUGCAAGAGAUUAGAUUUCCUUUUGUUAGCAGAUUACAAGAAAAAUUAAACAAAAAUCCUCAUAAAGUUAAGAAGUAGAAUAUGAGAUCAUGAAUUGUUCCACAAACAUGUGGAAACUCUUCUAUUGAGCAAUUGUUGUUGUGCAAGGGUAAUGUCCUGUCUCUCUGCUUUCUGAAGUUACUUUGUCUACUUUUUAGGCUUAUACCUUCGACAUCAAUGACUUAACCUCCUAAAGCGGUCCUCAGGGUAGAAAAUCAUGAAUAUAUGUGCCUUUUGACAUGAAACUCUGGAACAACUCAACUUGAUGUGGUAGUUAGGUCUUUGACCUAUAUAAGUCAUAAUUUAGUGUAGAAAGGACACACAGUAAAAUUGCAGUGUUUCAUUAUCUCAUGCAAGACCACAAAAUGUACAAAAUAGCAUAUCCAUCCUCCUAAGUCAUACCAGCCUCCCUUUUAUGCUGUUCUAGGUUAUGUAUAUUUGCAAAAUGUGAUCCCAUGGAGAAUAUAGCUUCUUAAAACAAUGACAAAAAAUUUAUAACGAAACCCCUUCUGUGGAUUUGAGAUCUUCCUUUUCUUUAUAACCUCCUCAUCUUAUAAAGGAGUGUUUAAACAAGAAUUACAUGAUUCAGGCUGGUUUGCACUACACAUUCUUCAGAGCAAUAUAAUCCUGAAAUUUUUCACCAGGUUGAGCAAUGAUUGCCCCUCCUUGGACUGCUCUGACUUAUACCUCAGUUCAAUUCUUGGUGCUCUUUCAGUUAUGGUUUUCCAGACACAUUGAGAAAUAAAGUUGAUGAAUUUAGCCUCAAGCUUGGGGUCUCCCACCAAAAUGGUGGUAUUGCACAUAUCAUUUGUUGACUUGGAGAUAUCAAUUCUUUCUUCCAUCUUUCUUAUUCGGUUUUUGUUUUGAAAGGAAAGGGGAGGGAGGGAGAAAAUUUUCCUCCUGAGGACCAUGACUAGUAAAUGAAAAAAAAUGAUGAAGAUGCACUUUUGAGAAACCUUACUAUCGGCUUCUUUUGAAAGAGAAAUACAGGACAACAACAACGUUCAUCUUUCUCCUAUGAUGCCUUCUGAAAUCCUGCUUCACUCUAACCAAAAUCAACUGUAUGCGAUUCAUUUGGAGAGACUGAAGCCUGUUGAUAAGCUGAUUACAGUUCCUUAUUAGCAUGUUCCUAUCUUGUAUGGUAGUGUUUGGUCCUUGCAUGAAGUGUCUGUGAUUUCAUCCAUUAUUAACUUUUGUGCUACUAAAAGAAGCAUGGAUUUAACUUUUAUUUCACUAUAUAUUGAAUUUUUUUCUGGGUUUAAUUUUGAUUGAUUGUUGUGAUUUUUCUGGCUGGAAAAAAAAAAAUAGUGAAGGAAAAUCAUCGAGGACGAGGGCUUGGAGAAGCAUUGCUGAAGGAAGCGAUCCACAAAUGCGGAACAAGAAAGAUCCAAAGGGUAUCCCUUCAUGUUGAUCCUGAAAGAACUGCAGCUAUGAACCUCUACAAGAAACUGGGAUUCAAAGUGGAUACUCUUGUUGAGGGUUAUUAUUCCCCAGAUCGAAAUGCUUACAGAAUGUACCUUGAUUUUCAAACAGAUUAACUUAAUCAAGUGUUCAUGAAAUUCAUAUAUCACCGUUUGUUUUUUAAUUUUAUUUUAUAGUGAAAUUCCACAUUAUUUGAUCGUUUUUAACUUUUUAUAGAAUUUGUGGCAAUCUUACCCUAUAAUUGCACCCCUAAAACUUUUUAUUUCUUUAAACAUGUUCAAAACGAACCAAGUACUAGUUAAAAAGUAUAAAACAAGAAUGAAUUUAAAAACUUUUGAUACAUAAAAAUGAACAUAAAACUUUGUUAUCUAUUGCAUAAAAAGUAAUUAUUAUCCGAUAAUUUCAAUGUUGUUAUCUGUUUUAAUACUCUAUAUAUUUUUUAACAAAAUUCACAAAACUAUCUCACUGAUUUUGAACUAUAAUUUUUACCUUAAUCUUAUUUGUUGUACACCAAGUUAGUUAGCUGUCCCUCUAAAGUUCUAACUUUGGUCAUACCUUCAAUAGUGAUUCACAAAUAUGUAUGAAAAGUAUUAGCAUGAUCCCAAGGGCUCCAUUUUGGAAGAAGAAAAACAAGCAUAAUAGAAAAAGAAAUUCUGUCCAAACUAAGCAAAAAAAAAAAAAAGGGAAAAUUAGAGCAAGUAAGACACCAAGCCUAGAGAAUUUCGAAAAAUGUUUGAGAAGUUAUAUGUGAAAAAAUGUUACUGCCCAGGAUCGAACUGGGGACCUUCAGUGUGUAAGACUGACGUGAUAACCACUACACCACAGCAACAUUCGAUAUCUUAGUAAUUUUUAUUUACUAACUAUACAUGGGGAAAUUUAGGCGCCGGGUUUGUUUUGGUUUCCUCUCAUUUUGGCUUGGAUUUCGGACUUCGGAAGUUCGGAGCAAAAUUCUUUCUUGUCUGAUCAGCCCUGGUUUAAAUUUAUUCUUCCAAUUAAAGCAAAAGAAAAAAAGAAAAGGGGAUACUGAGCUUAACCCUGACAUCUCUGAUAUUGAUCUGGGGUCAGGGUUUUGCAAAUUUGGUUGAGAAAAUGUCGAGAAUGGCGCGGAGUUGCCUGCAAUCCGUCCUGAAAAUAGUGAAUUCGGGAAUUGGAAUGGUGGGGAUAGCUACGAUUUUGUAUUCCCUUUGGAUGUUUAUGACUUGGCGAAGGCACUUGGGUCCUAAUCCUCCUGAUGUACCUACCCCUUGGUAUUUUUUUCUAUUGAAUUUUCUGCUUUUCUCUGCUUAUAUAUGCCUGAAAAAUGAUGGGCUUUCCUUUUUAUUUAUUGAUUAACAAGAAAGGUGAUUGCUUUAUUGAUUUAUUGGUUGGUUGGUUGGUUUGGUGGACCGGAGGUUAUCUUUCGUUUUCAUGACUGGCCGGUUUGUGAACUCUUUAAACUUUUUUUUAAAAAAAACGAAAGUUUUUUUGUUUUUUGUGUUAUUCUAAUUGGGUUUUUUUUUGGGGGAAAAAUAUUUUACUUCUUUUUUUUUUGGGCUGGUGUUUGUUAUGGAUUGGCAGUUGAGAGCGAAAUGAGAAAAUCAAGGGAGAAAAUUGAUAUGGUUUGGAUUAGAUAUAUCUCGGUAAUGAGGGUUGAAUAAAUACGAUUUGCAAAUGCACCUCUAUAGUGAUGGCUUGGAUUUUUGUGGUGAAUGAGCUCACACAUAAUCAUUAAUUGGAAUCUGAGAAAUGUUCAGAUGAUACUGAUGAAAAUUUUUGAGAACCUAUAUAUUCUGAUGAAAAAGUUUAGAACCUAUGUGAGUGCAUGUUUUUUACUCAAAGCCGAUGCUUUUUUAUCUGAUUUAGGCAAUUUGGCUUUGUUUGUGAGAGAACGUUGGAAAACUAAGUUCUUUCCAUGUUUGGCUGCUGUUUCUUGGGUACAUUUUUUAGCAACCAUCUGUUUAGACAAUGAGAAUUGUAAUGCUCUGUUGUGCUGCAGGUUCAUCUACUCCUUUCUUCUCAUUGGGGUGACUUUGUGUGUUGUGACAUGCUCAGGGCACAUUGCUGCUGAGACUGCUAAUGGUUGCUGUCUUUGUUUUGUAUCCUUUAAGUGAAUGGAUUUUCGUGAAUAGAGUAAUCGUAUUACUGAAGAAAUUAUGCAGGGAUUUUCUGUGGCUGGUGUUUGAUUUUAUCAGUAGCCUUGUUGCAAAAACAUAUAGAUUGCUUUGCCAUGUAGGAGACAUAAAGUUAUCGCCUUUGUAUGGUAUUCUGUGUCUUCUGCUUAUGGACCUCUGGUUUGUGGUUAGGCCUUGGAGGCCUUAGGAACGAGCCUUUAGAGUGCAUUAGGAGUCUUGAGCUUGUCUUAUUGCCUUACUAGAGUGGAAGUGUGUUGAAUGAAGAGCAGACAGUAAACGUCUUUAUUAUGGGUGUUUUAUUCUGUCUCCACUGAUGAAAGCAAUCGUGUAAUCAUUCUCGCCUCUUAUCGUUGGAUUUGGCUAGCCCAUUUCUUUCAGUAUAAACUAGAGUUGUUGUUUUGGCUAUGUGUUAUGCUUUCAUUGCUUUUCUGGUGCAUGUUUGCAACAUGGUCUCCUAUCCUUCAACAUGGCAAGGACAGUCUUGUUUUCCUUUAAUUAUAAUUCUUGGUGAACUCAUUGAACCUGUGGUUGGUUGUAAACUUGUUCUUUUCAAAACCUAUUGAACCAUUUAUUUAAGUUGGCUGGGCUUUCUGUUUGUAAUGCUCUUUCCUUAAUAAGAAGAUUAGCAGGCAAUGAGUAAUGUUAGGGCAAGAAAAAGCAGAAAUUUUAACCACGCAGACAUUAGCUGAGCUUAACGAGUAGCAAGGUUCACCUUUAAUGCUUUUCAAUUUCUUUCUUUUCCAGUCUUGCAAGAAAUUCUGGUUUAUAAGUUGAUGCAAGGCCUUUUUCUUUUUCUUUUUUUUUUUUUUUUUUGUAAUGGAUCAGGCUAGACUGAAGCACAACUCAGUAAUAGGAGUUGUCUAGCUCAUUUUGGACUCUACUUCAUAAAGCUCAUCUUCGAUUUAGUAAACCUAUGAGGACUUUGAAAUGUUUGUCCUGUCAUACUUAUUUUUGCGACUUUUUUUUAAUUCUUAUUCAUUUAUUUGUUUAUUUUUAAAUGCAGUUAACCUCAGUGGAGCUGUAAUUUUUACUGCAACUGUUUUGUUAUUAAGUGUUUGGCUAACCUUAACUCUAUGAAGUACAUGAUAUUUGUCUUUCUGCUUAUCAUGGUUGAAGCUGCAGUAGCUGUGGAUGUGAUUCUAAAUCGCAACUGGGAGGAGGUAAAACUACCCUGUUCAGCAUUUUACGCUUAAUUAUAUGGGAAAAAAUUCACUUUCCUGAAAAAGAAAAAAAAACACUGAUAGUUGAAUUGGAACAGGGCUAAGUCAUAUUCAUUUGCACUGACUGCAUGCCAGGACUUUCCAGAUGACCCAACAGGGAAUUUUAACGAGUUCAAAGAUUUUGUGAGAGAAAAUUUUGAAACGUGCAAAUGGGUUGGCGUGGUUGUAGUUGCUGUGCAGGUUCUUCUCUCUCUCUCUCUCUCUCUCUCUCUCUCAUACACACACAAAAGCAGGCACAUUCUCCCAUCCCCCAACUCACAUUCUUACACAAAAGAGGCAUGCAUUUAGAAGCAUUCAUUUUAUGUUUUUUUUUUAAAAUUUAGUCAAUUUUUUACAAUCACUGAUGGAAUAAUGCAUCACUUCUUAAGCAACACACAUAUCCUCAUUAAUUAGUUCGAGCAUUUACAUUUUUCAUAUGCUGAUUUUUUUUUAUUUCCUAUUUCCUGUGUGUGCUUGUUUACUACUUACCAAAAGGAAUGAGUUUGUGCUUCUUAAUUUUUUAAACCACCGUCUUUGUGGUAUGUAUUGAAUGGUGUUCAUUUUUUACAUUUGCCCAUUAUAUGUUUGCAUUUCUAUCUGACUGCCGAGGUGAAUAAAAUACUUUGCAAUUUGAAUAUUUGUUAGUUGGCAUUAGCAUUUCAAAUGUGAGUUGGAUGUUGAAGCUUGUUUGCAAGAUAAAGAAAGAAAUGGAAAGAACUACCACAUGGUUGUUCAGUUGGCCUAUUGGUCAUGUUUUAUGUGCAGGGUGUAAGUAUGCUACUGGCAAUGAUUCUAAAAGCCUUAGGACCAUAUCCUGAGAGAUACUAUGAGAGUGAUGAUGAUUAUAGUCCAGAUAGAGUCCCUCUCUUGAAGCAUUAUGCCCCUCCGCCUUCAUACGUUGUUGCUGACACACUUCAUCCAUCAAGGAAUGAUUCUUGGAAUGUCAGGAUCAACAGUAAGGUGGGUUUGCAAUACUUUCUUGAUUAUUUUUGAAGAAGUGUCAAUUUUUAUUGGCAUGAUGGCAUUUUGAUGUACCCAUCUGGCAAGCAUGUUUCAUCAUGGUUUGUCUGUCUUUUGGUGUUCUGUCUGGUUUGAUAUCUCAAUUGUUUGCAACAUAUUACUGUGAGAUUUGACAUUUGACUGUGUUUUCACAUUUUGUUUCUCGCAUUUCUUUGAGUCUGCAUGAGUAUAAUUUUAGCCAAUGUGUUUGCUUUAUGAGAAAAUUGCUUAAGCAUGUUUUUUCUAUUGCUAGUUGUCUCUUUUUUCCUUUCUUCCACUCUGCCUCCCUUUCCCUCUUUUGAAUCCAUACAGCUUCUGGGAAGAACUUGAUACUCAGAGUCAAAGUGCACCUGCAGCUUAUCUGCCUGCUUCUCCUUCUAUCCUUUUUGUUUUCUCUUUCAUUCUUUCAUGUCCUGGUUUAGUUCCUUUAGAAGUUUCAGGAAGUUUUUCAAUUUAAUAAGAUUGGCCAAGGAGGCCCCUUGGCCUAGAGGCUAAGGUUGAGGCCCUGGAAUUAGAGGUCUUGGGUUCAAAUCCCCCCCCUGCUCCAUCCCUGCGUCUUAAGUCCCAUCCCUCCUUGCUGGAAAAAAAAUUUUAAAAAAACUUAAUAACAUUGAUAAAUUUGUAUUCCAGAAAUUUUUAGGGUGACUAUGCUGUCUCAUGGUUGCACUUCUGUACUGAGUGUUCUUCUGUGAUUUUGUACUGUCCUUGCAAAUUACUUGCACAUAUUGCUCCCUCCAAAAAAAAUACCUUCUAGUAUACAUUAUAUGUAUAUGGAUCAUGAUAUUAACUUCGAAUCAAUAUAGUUGACUUGCGGAUUCUAUUUUGUUUUGAUUAAUUAUGACAACUUGGCAUGACUAGUCCAACGAUUUCAUUUCGUCUGAACCAAAUACCUCCCAUCUUCAACUUCACGAGAAACUUGGAAUCAGCAAGACAAUUAACUUUCCCUCUUAAUUACCGAGUCCAAAAACCAAAAUGCAGUAAUGUCUCCAGUCAUUUAAUAAGUUUCAAUCAAUUAGUAGUAUUAAAAAGUAUAAAGUAAACAAUUUUUUUUAGCUAAUCUAUUUAAAUGUACAAUUUAUUAUCUAAAAUUCACAAUACAAGUAAUAUAAAAUAUUAUUCUAUUUAUGAUGUGUUUUCAAGGAACUUAAGAAGUGAGUGUGUGUGAAAAUACAUUUAUGUAUGUGAAAUGUGUUUAUAUGUGUGAAAAAAAUCUUUUUUUUUGUAUGUUAAAAUGUAUGUGAAAAAAGUUUAUGUAUUAAAAUGUAUUAAUUAAUAUGUUAGGUCAUAUUUGAGUCAUGGGUUUGAGAUAACCCAAUAUGACCCAACCCAAAAUCAACCCAAUCUAAAGUUGGGUGGGUUGGGUAUAACCCAUUUAAGUGAGAACCCAAUAUUAAUCCGCCCAACCUGCCCAAUUGCCAGGUAUACAUAUUUCUUAUACUUUCAGUGGAGAUUUAAGAUGGAGGCACUGGGGGCACGGGCCCCACUAUCCCUUUAAACUUCUAUAGUAUCCAUAAAAUUUUGAUAUAAUUUCAAGUAUGUCUUCAAAAUUUUCUUAUGAAAGGAGUGAAAGAAUUAAGUAAUCCUCUAAGUUGGUUCAUGAACUAAUAUUCUAAAAGAAUAUGCGGGCCACAAAAUUUCAUUUGAAAUAAACUAAAAAAAGAUUUUUCAUUUCAACUUGUUGGUGAAUAUUUUUUUUGCUUAAAAAACUAAAAAGAGAGUAGGUAAAAAAUUUUAAUGUUGUUUUUGCCCCCACUGAGAAUUUUUUCUGGCUCCACCGCUGUAUACUUUGCACAACUUCAAACAUGUUUGUAUAGGCAUGCCUAGAUUAAUAUUAGUUUUUGUAAUGUGUACAGGGCAUCGAUCUCAAAUCAUCCCACAAGGGGAUUCAUUAUUAAGUCCAUAGUUACUUGGCACAAAUCUUGACAUGUUCUGUCAUUGAGCAAAUGUGCAAGGCUGAAUCCAUCAAAGUAGUAGAACUUAUGAUGUUAAAAGAACUGACGAUUGUCAGAUCAUAAGUAUCACCAUCAGGAAUAAAUGAUAAUCAAAAACCAUCAUGACAAUGAUAUAUUGGACCUCUCAAGUUGCAGAAGCUUUGAACUUCAAAACAUGCAAUUCCUAUACAAUCAAGCUUUCCUUGUAGAUUAGGUUGGUGCUAAAUCAGCAAGAACAGAAUAAUUUGCAGAUUGUACGCAACAUGACACAUGAUACAAGUUCAUAAUUCACGGUCAGUAUUGAUGGUUUCCAUUCAAAGAAGUACAACGUUUUGUUUUUCUUCCAAAAAGACGAAGCCAUGCAAAAAGUAGAACAAAUAGGUUUUAGGUCAGUAAAACGUGCGACCAUGCACAAGACAUUAUUCAUGGAUAUCUGCUUUGUUAAUUAGGUAAGGAUUAUUCCAAUUGUUAGUUGGUCAAAAGGGAUUGUAUGAAUUUGGAAGUUGGAACUCCUUUGCCUGAUUAGCAUGCUGUUUCUUUGACCACAAACUUGAGGCUCAAGAGAACAUCUUGUAACAAAGAGACUGUUGUCUUGGUUCACUACUGCUUGAUUUUUAGGCUAAAUUGAGUCCUGAAGUUCUUAAAUACACAGUAAUAUAUUUAUAUAUAUAACAGUAAUAUAUAUAAUUAAUUUCUUUCCCAUGCAAAAAGUUUGUAUUGCAUUCAAUAGUAUAAUCAGAAAUUACAACACAAAUUUUAAAAAUCUAUAAAUAUUCAGUUGACAGAUAAACUUUUUUUUUUUUACUCGGGAUGCAAAAAGAGUUUGGGAAUGAAAAAAAUAAACUUUUUCAUCGCGCUAAGCUAAUGAAAUUGAAUUAGUGGCAUUAGGUAAUAGGCUAAAAUUAAGAUAUUAAUUAAUGAAAAAAAGAGUGAAAUUUCAAAGCGUUAAGAAAAAAAAACAUGUGACCAAACUCAAUAAUAGGAGCAAGGAAAAAAGAGAAAUAGUUGUAGAAAAAUAGAAAAAAAUGUGACUAAUUAUAAAUUUCCCUAAUCACGGAUAAAAAGACAAUCUUAUGAUUGAAAAAGAGAAUUAAAACCACGGGUUGAUUGAUUGAUUGAUUGACUAAUUGAUUAAAUAAGACGAAAGGUAUAAUUAGCACAAACAUAUAAAUAGUAAAAUGACUAUAAAUUAAGGUAAGUAAUUGAUACAAAUACAUAUAAGGUAGGUAAUUGAUAAUUGAUUGAAAUUUACUAUGAAUAAUGGAGUGAAAAAGAACUGUAAAUUAAUUGUUACAACAAAAAAAAAGAAUGAAAUCCAUCAAAAAAAUACAUAAACAAAAACAAAAUUUUUUUUAUCACAUGACAAAAAGAUAGGACCUCCACUUGAUAUGAUAUAGACAAGUACAACUUGAUAACCUAACAUACAAGAAAUUGAACAUUAUAUGCGUGUGCCGGCACGUGCACGCUAGAAACUUACAUAAACAUAAAUUAUGGCUGUAUUGGUCCUUACUCUUUUCAUAAUCCGAUCAGAUACUCUUUCGGUUUGCAAUUGAGAUUGCUAGUGGUGUCCAAUCUCUCAUAUUUCAGUGGGAGUGCUUCCAGGGAUCGACAAUGACCUUCAGCAUUAUCCCAAAUGGUAAAUGCAGAAGAAGUUUAUAUAUUUGUUGAAGGAAAUGUCCGAGGACACUGCGCUUUCUCUUGUCCUAUGAUUCAUGAAUGAUGUCCACAACUUUGUCAUAGUGACUGGCCUCCGUCCUGUUCAUUUCUAGUACGACAUUGAUUUGAGUCCAUGUGUUUCCCGAUUUCAACAAGACAUCCCAACGAACGUGAUAUCAGUCAACUUUACUCUCGCUAAGGUCAAGAAUUACCCAGCUUACCUGUUGCAUGGUGUGUGAAAAUGAACAUUCGGUUGAUUUGGUAUUGCAUCCAACUUGUACAGAAGAAGUGAACAAAAGUAGGUUCACAAGUUGUCUAGAUUGGUAAUGACAAGUCAUUCCUCAGUUGAUUAGGUAUGGUAUCUAACUUAUAUAGAAGUUGUCAACACAAGUUAGUUCAUAGGUUAGAUUCAAUUGAUAAGAACAGGUAAUGUGUUCGAAUUUCGUUAUCGAUAUGUUUCAAACCUUGCUAUCAAUGUAAAAAUUAUAUUAGUGGACAAUUUGCAGAAGUUUUUAUAAGCAACCAAUGUUUGCAGGAUUAUGUUAACAGGCGAUCAGUAAGAAUUCCUAAAUGAUUGUGGUUUGGAGGACAUUUCUUGAUCUGCGGUGAUGACCAGAGUCCCAUUGGUCGUCAUUUCGGGUCGAAUUCAAGUCAUUCGAUCUCAUAUUGGGUGAUGAAACUAGAGAUGGAGAGAGUACCAGGAAUUUGACGAUGAAUUGACAUAUAACGUCUUCAAAACUAGUACCAAAAUGCAAUCAUUUUGUAAUCGGAUAAAAUAUGGAAAAUUUGUAUUAUAUAUUACAUGAUAUCAUCAUCUUUGAUGAUGUGUGAACAACCAAUUGGUACAAAUCCUUCACAUAAUAGACUCCUUCGCACCAAUUGAGGAACAGCCAAUUACUACGCUGCGACAUACCAUAAGCGCGCCUAUGUUGUUGAAAUUCCUCUUUCUUUCUUUUUUUGGAGGGAUAUGUUGUUUAAAUUCUUAAGCAGCAUUUUCAAGAAAAGCACGUUUUUUUUUCUUAUAAUAGCGCCAUAAUGAGAGAACAAAUGUAAAGUAUAAACGGUACCUAUGUAUUAACUGUUAAGCAGAAACAAGUAAACGCUUUCGGCCUUUGCCAUCCAAUUUAGCACUUGCCACAAAUAUAAGAGGCAUUGCUUUUGAGCUGAUUAUUCCAUAACUAAACACAACUACGCACAUAAUUAGAGUAUAAUUGUGUUGUGCUUACGCCAAGCAAACAGACAUGGUGGUAUGAUAGUAUCCCAUGAAAUCUUUAACAAAAUUGACACCUUAAUUAAUAUUUAUGACUAACUUAUGAGUCGCAACAGAUCUUCUGUCUCACUUCUUAUUCCACUCUCUGUCCACAUUUUAUUAUACCACAUUUUAUUAUAUUGCUAUUAUUGUUUCAUAAACAUCCUAUUUUAAUUUUUUUUUGUUACUUAAAUUGAUAACUACAAAAAAUAAAAAAUUACAAUAGUCUAAAAAAAUAUAUAAUAGGAAAUUAAUUCCUCAUGCUGCUUCGUACCCAAAAACGAAAAAGAGUAAUGCUGCUAAUUAGUCGACGCCCUUAUUUUCUUUCUUUUUCUCCUUUCCCAUCACAAAUAAGAAGCCAAAAAAAGAAAAUACCUAAAGAAAAAGUCUUUUAUCUCAGGUAUGCUCAAUUUUAUUUUAACGUGUUACGUGAAAAGCCGUCAACGUGGUAAUGAAUUAACAGUAACGGCGUUUAGAUCUCAGCGCGGUAAAAAGUUCUGGCGCUAAGACUUGGCGCCAAAAUCUUCCGCCAUUACUCAAAAAACGUAUUUUCCAGUGCUAUAAUACAACCGAGCCCCAACAAAACACGCACCAAUUCACAUAACGUUUCCUAGAUCUCGCAAUGGUGGUGGCUCUUGGUCCCGGAAAAUUCUACGGCAGCAGCCUCCCAAGGCCAAGGUUCUACACAGACGUGAAACUGAACGACGAGAGGGUAGAUCCACCGGUUCCAGUCAUGGAUCCGCUAAUGUCGUGGGCUCAGGAGGCUCAUUGGUCGAUGGGUGGUCUGAGUUUCACGCGCCACCGCCUCCAAGGCAGGAUUGAAGGGAACGUUAAGAAGCUCCGGGCUGAAAGAGAGAAGCUUUUUAAGAAAGCCCAGAAGGAGAAGGGGAGCGGUAGUCCGGUGACGCCGCCGGCUCCGGUGGCGGUGAAGCGGAGGAGGAGGAUGUUGAUGAGGAGGAGGAAGAGGAGGAGGAGGUGGUGGUGGAGGAGAAGAGGAGGGAACUUAGGAAGACGGCUAGGAAGUUGGGGGAUGAUUUUGACAGGGUGGCUAAUGAGAAAAAGAGGAGUCCGGCUAGGGCUGGUGGUGGUGAGGCGGCAGGGAGAAAGAGAGGCCGGGUUGGCGAGGAGGAAGAAGGGGUCGGGAUGAAAUUAAAGGAAAGUUGAAGGGUAAGAAGGAAAUUGGAAAAAAGAAGGGAGAGAAGAACAUGGCUGUCGCUGCUAAAGGGACUAGAACUUCCCUAGGUUAGCAAAGAGAGGAUGAAUUUGACAAUCAAUGGCGUAUUCUGCUGUUAAUUUUAGGCUUAUAGCUACCUAUAUACUUAAGAAGAGAGUUAUGGUGUAAUCUUGCACUAAUCUUUUUCUGCUUUUAAUUUUUCUUCUCUUGUUCUGGCCUUCUAAUUUGUUGUGUAUAUUCUUCUUGAUUAUUAGAAAGUGAAAGAUCCGGGGUUUUGGCUGUUCUAAAACCUCUUAGCAUUUUCAUGAAAAUUUGCUUAUGAAUGUACUUUUGGGGCAGAAACCAGAUUUCAAGCAACGCUGUAAGUAUACUCAAACCCUUGUUUAUAGAGCUUUGCCAAAGAUCAAUUUCAUUUUCUCAAGUAACAAAGCAUCCAUUUGACAAGUGACUUGAUUGAUGACUUGAGACUGCAAUGACACUAAGGAUAAAAAGACUAGUAAUUUCUAAACUGAACCGAACAUAAUAAUACUACCAUGGAUUGGUGAAAAUGCCAAUUAAUUUGAGGUUAUUAACAUAAUACUAUAUAUUGCUAGUGAUAAUAUGCUAAUUAAUUUGAGAUUAAACGUACGCGAUUAGCAACUCUUACCAACCCCCCCCCCCCUUCUCUCCCACACAUAAAAAAAUACUACAUGAGAUCAAAGUCAUAACGCAAAUAAUUGAGGAAAAUAAAAGGAGUCUUGGGCUUCUUUUUAGACUGGAUUUGGUGGGUGCGCCAGGCCGAAGGCAAUAAGGCGAUAAGCUGCUGAAAUGGGUUCUUUCCCCUAGAAAUAUCGUAACAGACACUACACUUGAUCUUAGCCGAAAACCAGAGAGGUACGCUCUUCAAGGCCCCAAAAAGAUCCUUUUAUAGCAAGGCACGCACUUGGAUAGAUCUAAGAUUCUUUUAUGAUAAGAUAAACAUUAAGGUAGACUAGCUCUAUGUAAAUGGGAUAUGGGGCAGGGACGACAUAAAUUUAGACGACAUGUUUACAAAAUCAGAUUUACCCAAACUUUUGCCUUGCAGUAUGUUUCUGCAGUCCAUAAGAGGAACCAUGUGGGAAAAAGCACAAGGCAGCAUGCCAACUCCAUAACCCUCCUAGCAUAGGGAGGUUUGUGAUUCGGGUUCUUUGCAUUCAUCUUUGAGUGUCAUGUUCAGACCAUAAAACCAAUUAACAACUUAGGCCCGUAUGGAUUAGGUAUUUUUGAAAGUGUUGUUUAAAAUUUUAUUAUAACGAUAUAUGUAAAAAAAUUACGAUAGAUGAUUAAACAUUUUUAGGGUAUAUUUUUUAGAAUGUAUUUUGAGAUAUUUUUAAAAUUUAAGAAGGAGAGAUUGCACAAGAGGAGGGGAGAGAAAGAGGAAGGAGGAGGAAGGGAAAGGAAAUGGAGGAGAGAAGAGGAGGGAGAGGGCGGUGGCGGUGGAGGUGGAGGAUGGAAGCGGUCAUGGUGCUAGGUGGCGGCGUGCGGUGAUGAUAGAUAGUGGAUCGAAAAAGAUGGAUGUGGUUGAUUUAUUUUAUUUUUUUUAGUUUAUAUUUGAGAUUUGUAUGAGUUAUGUGCUUUUAGGAGUGUUUUGAGAGUUUGUUACUUUAACAUUAUAUUUGAAAAAUUUGUCGGUGAAAAAUGGUAAAUCCAUGCAACCCUUAAUUACAGCUUAAAAAGUGCAUACCACUUGUUAAGGGAUUGGAUUUUCAUUUGCUUUGAUAUAAACCAUGAAUAGGUUUUCCUAACCUAUCUCACUAUGUGAACCUUGAAUUUGGACAGUUUCCUAAAAUUAUACUUUUGUGAAAAAAUUAACACCUAAGACCCUCUUAACAAUUGCAUCGGAUGAUAAUGAUAUUCAUGAUACAUCAAUAUGAAGAAAAUCAAUAGAAGCUUAUAUUUGUUUCCUUUUUCACUUUUAUACUAAAGGACAAAUUUCAUUCAAAUACCAUAAAAUUUACAUCACUUAUUCACUGUAACAAAGAUCCAGCUUUGGUAUCUAGAUUAUGGUCACCCGAGACAAGCUGCAUAUUACUUUAGCAAAAGGAAUUACAACAGCAAGGAAAUAACUUUAUCAUAAUGUCAUGUCUCAUGAAGCACUGGCCUAACAGCAGACUGGCCAUUGGAUUCUAAGACACCUGUAAGUUCUGCAUAUCUGCUAGCAAUUGGGUUCAGUUUAUUACAAAUAAUUCCUUGUGAAUUGUGCCCAUCUUUUGGAAUAUAAGCAAAGCACUGCUAAAGAACAUGCUUUUGAUGUAAGAAUGAGUGAUGCUGAGUUCUAGUUGGUCCAAGAUUCCUACUUGUUAGUCUUUUCCUUUUUUUUUUCCCUAAUGCAGGGGGUAUCCAUUUCCUGCGAUGAUGCAGAGCCCGUCCCAAAGAUGCAUUACACCAUAAUAGGAAUUGAAACGUGACCUCUGGAUAAGGACCCAAUAAUACUAACGGCCUGGGGGCUUCUACAUGUUAAUCAUGAAAGCAAAUGUUCUUGGUCAAGAAUUGAAACAUUUUUUUGACUUUUUCUGUCAAUUUUCGUUUAUAUUUCUUCAUAAGAUAGAUUAGAAAAUGGUUUGUAAAGUUCAAAAUAUUGAGUAACAUCAAAAAAAAAAAAAACCAUUUGAUUGAUAAAAUAAAGACAAAAUUGUACUUAUUAAGAUACAGUGAGUCUUCAAGAAAGAGAGCAAGCUAAUUCUCAAAACCAGUCAAAUCACUACCCAAACGAAAAAGGGGGAAUUUUUUCUUCUUCUUUUUUCCCAAAAACUGGUGAUUCAUAAUAAUUUUCCCAACCAAAAAGAAACAGCUAAAGAAACUUCAAUUUUAUCUGUCAAAAAAGGGGAAAAAAAAAAGAGCGAGUAGUUUACAAUGACCAUUGACCAAUAGUGCAACCGACAAUAAACCCGCCAAUGUGAAUGCACGCUUACCAAUGACAAAUCGCCAUCUGUCAGGCUGUCACCAUUCUUCAUCCUUCUCCGCCAGCACUAUGAUCCUUGGGUUAGGGUUUCCACAAUGGUACCAUUCCUCAAUGAUUUUGUCUCUCCUUUAACAUCGAAAUUCUCAAUAGAUUUGGGGUUUAUCUCAAAUUGCAGAUAUCCCCAAAUGGGUCUCUCUUAAAAUCCCCAAUUUCGGUGCCAUUGUUUGGGAAUUAGCAACAAACCUCAAAACCAUGACCUAGGGUUUUGUAUUCCAGUUCCCAGUUGUGGAUCAUCUUGCACACAUUGAUAUCUUAUUUUCUUCAAUUCCUCCUUUUAUUUAAUAAUUGUUGUAUAAAUAGCCAUAUUUUUCUUCGUUUUACGUAUCAAAUUCUCAAACAUUCAGGUAGGCUGGUAAUAAUAUAUGAUCCUGAACCCCCAUUUGCAUUCUCCUUAAUUGGAGUUUUACCAAGAUUGAUUUUUGGGCUUCACUUUUUUCUUUUUCUUUUGUAGAAUAUUACAGCUUUAACUUGAUUGAAGACUUGAGGUUUGAGCUGGAAAUAUAGUGGAAACUUGGGUUGAAAGAUCGUGGGGUGGUAAUUUGGCAAAUGGCAUCAUCCGGAUUCUUUAUUAUAUGCACUUUACAUUCAGUAAUUGCUAUAACUUGCGGUGCAUUGAUAAUGUUCUAUCUCAAUGAAAUAUCUGCUUUUGGGCACGGUAUUGAGACAGCUAAAAAGAUGCUGGGAUCAACUCCACAUGAUCAGUUGUUAAUACAGAUAUCCAAUUCAUUUGCCGGGUUGCUUUUGUUUGUGAUUGGAUUUUUAUUGUUAAUGGUGGCUUUUGUCAAGGACAGGGACUUUCAGAGCUUUUUCGCUAAGGGGCUUAUUCUCAUUCAUGUCUUGGUAGCACUCUGGAGAGUUUAUUUUGAGAGAAAGCUUGAGGAUUUAGCUCAUGAUUGGCCAAGGCAGCUGGUUGGUGACUUUGCUCUGGCACUCUCGUGGGUGUUCUUUCUUGUAUACUCAUGGAGAGAAAAGUAUGAUUAGACGAGUUGAGAUGAACAAUUAUGUUCCUGAUUGGCCGAAUCACAAGAUUUGCUUGGUAGCAGGUCAACCAUUCUGAAAAGAUUUCUAUUGCGUUGCAGAGUAGCAUUAUGGUGCUUAAUGGAUCACAGCAUACCACCUUUCUUAAAAUGCCUGUUUUAUUUGCUAAAUAAAAUGGUGGUUGAAUUUUGAAGGGGAGUUUGUUGUCAGCAUGAACCUUUGGUUAGCCUGUAAUUUAUCUCUGAUGGAACCGAUGUUGCUAGUUUGAUUUUCUUUACUGUGUCUGAUUUUUCAGAAAUGUACUUAACCAUAGCAUUUGGAAUAAAUAGAAUAGAAAUUGAUAUAUGAAGCUUUUAUGUUAUUUUAUGACUUCCAAAAACUAUUCUGGUUUUCUAUAUUGAUAUAUCGGACUGUUAGAAAUCAUAAAAUCCAGGGAAAAUUAGUUUGGUCUUGGUAAAGAGAUAGAAAUAUUUUUCUGGAUGGUUUGAUUUGUCCCUACCAUUUGAUAAUCUGGAUACUAUUUUGUGAUCUGGUCGUCAUUCAAACUAAUAUUGCUAUUUUAAGGAGUUGAAUUUUGGUCAUGGUGAUUGAAACAUCUGAUUGAACAAAUUCAUGUCAUGUUGAUUGAAAUAUCUGAUUGAAAGAAUUACUUUGCAACAAACAAGGAUGUAUCACAAAGCUAUCCUGACAGUGCAAUUUUCUGCCUAGAAAGCAGAUUAUGUAGCUACUCUGUCCACUAUGAGCCUCUCUAUCAUCAACUUGAUUUUCACUAGAUCUCAACUGUUGUGCCUCUAUAGCUGCAUAACUUUGUAGCGACCAUCAUGUGUGCAGCAGUGCACGCUAGAAGCUAGGACUUGGUUGAGCUUCAGUAGUAAGGGAUGGAGACCAUGCUAUAUAUGGUUGCUGGCUUUCUCAAACAUAAUCUUAGUUUGUCUGCUCCUGUCAAGACAUUGAGAUGUUUGGCAGUAGCAAGCAUGAUAAACCAAAUCUCUUUGCCAGAAGCGCUGUCCAUUUUGAUGUCUGACUUCUGCUUGGAUCCGAAUCUGAAAUCCAAUCAAGUUCAGAAAGCAAUUCGAUUUGGGAAUAAUUGGAAAUAUGAAUCUGAAAUCCACGUCUGUUUAGUGGAAUUGCUAUGGUGAACAUGGAUUCUCUGUGUUGUGCCUAGAUGAUUGCUUAGUGCUCCACAGAGAGGAGGAAUAGUCAUUAGUAGUUACUAGUGUAUUCAUCUAAACGGAUGAGAAAGUUGAACUGUGUGACAAGCCUAUCAUAUUUUCAGAAAAGUCUUGGCUCUAAUUGCAUGCUUUGAGUAUGUAUAAGAACUCCUGCCUUAGAAUAUAGUUUGAUGUGCCACCUUUAUGCAAAAUCUCGUCCAAUAAUUGCUGCUAAUUCUUGAAACUUCUGUUCUUGAGGAUGUUAGCAAGUUAGCAUUGUUGUCAAAUGGUAACACCUUUUUGGCUCUCAUUCUCAAGGAUAAAUUUGAAUAUACACCGCCACAGGUGUGAAUUGAGGUCAGUUCUUGAGGCAGAUUGGGGGGAUGAUGAUAUGCUAAACAUUGUGCAUUAAUAACUUCCUCUUCGUUGUGGUAUCUAUGUGUGUCAGAAGUAGCCUGAUGUUGUGUUCAUUUCUGUUUUCGCUUUUGAGUUCUUUGCUCUUCAUAACAAUGACAAUUCAUUCUAGAAUCUAUAGAUGAAGUUUCAGCGAGCAUUAUUAUUAGCACAUUAUUUGGCAGUCUUGUUUUGCCUGAAAUGAACGUAGAAGUCAAAAAUAUUGGGGCCACCGAUUUGUUGUAGAGCCCAAAAGUCUCCGCUGAUUGCAGAGUCUUGAUUUCGGGUGGACAAAACAACCAAGUUUUCUUGUGUGAUUUGGUAAAUUGGUAAAGGGGUGCAGAUCCAAUUGUGGGUCAUGAUUGAGGGUUGGAACCAGCUCUUGCCUCAGGAGUCACUAAGGCAACUCCCCAUCUUCGUUCUAUGUAAGAUGAGACUGCAAAAAGGUAGAGGUGGCAAUUUGUCCCAAGUCCCAAUGGGUUACCCAUGCCCAAGGGGACUUUGGGCGGGAUGGGUAUUGGAUUUUGAUAUUGGGUUUAAAAUGGGACAAAUCCCAAUUGUACCCAUUAAUUGAUGGGAAUACUUGGGAAAUACUUGGGUACCCAUUGGGCUCAAAUAACAAGGGCUCUGUUUGGUUUAGCUAUUUUUAGGGGGUAUUUUUGAAAUAUUUUAUUAUAGCAGUGUAUAUGAAAAAUUUUUACUAUAAAAUUUUUUUGAAAUAUUUGAUAUACUAAUAUGGAUGGGAUGUUUUUUGAGUUAUUGUAUAUUACUGUAACAUUGUAUUUGAAAAACUUAUUUUUUGAAAAAAUAGCCAAUCCAAACGGAGUCUUAGAUUAAAAAAUUAUCUUUAACAAUUUUUAUAGUCAUACUAGAGAAUAUAAUCUAGUAGUUUUUCUAGUCAUUAUCCACAAGAAUUUUCAACAUUUCAGUCAAUUUAGACCUGUCAUCUUUGGACAAUGAUGAGGAUAAAUAUUCAACACCUUAAGUACCUUGGUCAUCUUGAUAUAUGUUGGAAUAUGACUGUAUUUCUAUUUUUUCCUUUAUUUGUUAAUCCAAUUUUUUAUGGGAAUCCUGAGUAUAAAGCACUUACAUGUUUAUUUAAUAAAACAAAAAAAAAUUUAAUAAAUCAAAAAUAUUAAAAUUAUAUAAAAAUAAAAAUGAAUUAAAGGAAAAAAAUAUGUAGAAAAUAGAUUUGGGUAUUGGGCGGGAUCAAUCUAAACCCAUCCCAAAGUGAUCCCGCCCAAGUUAGUCCCAAAACACAUAUGGGUAAGGUUGGGCCCAAACCCAUAUGACUCGGUUCCAUCACAAACCCAAGCAAAUCCCGCCCAUCCGCCCAUUUUGCCACCUCUACAAAAAGGGUUAUCAAUUAUAUGAAGCGGUAGAGAUCACAAAUGACGUGGUAAAGAUCAUUAAUUCUAAUUGUUGAUAUUUAUUGGGCUCUACUUACUCUUUAAAAAGUGGAUCAACUACAACAGUACAUCAAGCCCUGAUUUCUUCCAUAGAAAAGAAAAGAAAAGAAAAGAAAAGGCACCUUUUCAGCUUUAUCCAUGGAUUUCAUUAGUGGUUCCGCAUAUCAUAUGCAUUUGACCGAAGAGAUCAUGGAACCAUAAAUUGCUCACCCCAAGUUUGUGACCAAAAUCUCUUGAAUGUGAGGCCUAUACAUGUGGAGGAAGAUCAAAAGCUGUUGAACGUUUGGCUAAAUUUGAAGUUGUUUUCUUCUUUUAAGAGAAGCAUUUACCACUUCUUUGAAUACAUUUGUGCCCUGUUUCAGUAAUUUUACUGACUUUCACUACAUUUUGUCUAUCACCAAUCAAUCAUUUACCAGUUCGUUGAAGGACAGCAUUAAUGCCGCUCGGCGUGGACCACCAAGAGUAGAUAUCCCUCUUUCUUUUAAGAAGGACAAGAGUAGCAAUACUAAGUCCCAGCACCAAGGAAAAAGAGAAUACAUUUCCUAGAAAGAGUAAAAGUCACACCAGAUUCCAUGACCAUUCCAGUCCUGAACUUGCGUGUUAGAUGGAUCAUACAUGUGGUUUCUUCGCAUUCCUAACCUAAGCAGGACGGCAACAAUAUACUCUUGACAGAACUUUGCUGAAGAAAAAAAUUUCAAGUCUCCAACUGUCGAUCCUGAGAAAGGAAGAAAUGAAUUUUCAAUGACAUGAAUUUAUUGAUAGGACCCUUUCAGUGAAGUAACACUUCUAUAUAUUUUCAAAAGAGUAAACUUUCCAACCGGCUCCUGAACUAUUCAAUUUGUGCGGCUUGGUCUCUCAACUAUAAAUUGUCGCAAAAUAGCCUCUGAACAAAAGAAAAACUUAAUUUAAGGAUUUUCGUCAAUUUUGGAUGUCAAAUGUAAUGGAAUUAGGGGCAAAACCAACCAAACAGAAAAACCAACGUAUUAUUUAAUUAAAACCAUUUAUGUUAAGUCAACUAAUAACACCGCGUUUAAUUUUCUUUCUUUUUUUCAUCUUCCAUCUUCUCUAACCCUAAUUUGAUGAAAAAAUCAGUCAACGGGGUCUUUUGGACUGUUUUCAUGGGUUGAUUUUUUUUGCUUGUUGGUUUUGUCCCUAAUUCAGUCACCUUUAAAGACAAAAAUUGACGAAAGUUCUUAAACUAAAUUUUUUUGUUCAAGGAUUUUUUUGUGAUAAUUUAUAAUUGAGGGUUAAAACCGUAUAAAGGCAAUAAUUCAGAGGCUGUCCGGAAAGUUUCCUCUUUCCAUAAUAAUUUAGCAAAUGCACAUUUCCUACUUUGCCACACAAGUGAUCGGUUCUAUAAGGUCACUAGGCAUGUAGGCAAUUCUAAGUUUGGUCAAUUUUAAUGGCACUUUCUUUGGCCUUUUAAAUUUUAUCAUGUUAAUUAUACAAAAAAUAUUCUACCUUCAAUUGAAUUUACAAUCACCCAUCAUUAUUGUUUUUUUUUUCCUUUUACAUGAGUACAAAAGUCAAAAAUAAAGUGUCUUCAACAAAUAAAGAAGAGUCUCUAACAUUGCUCUUCUAGUAUAACAAUUUAAGUGACAUUAUGGGUUCUUGUAAAAACAUUUGAUUACAGUCAUACUAACAAACAAGCUAGAUAAAAAUCAGAUGGAGGGUUGGGUUGGGUAAUAAAAGGGGAGAGAAAUUGUAAGUUGGAUUAGAUCACAUCGAGGAGGGGAGAAAAAGUGUAAAUGAGACGGAUUCGAAACCUCCUGCUUACAAAAAAAAACAAAAAGAUGAAAAUCAAUGCAAGAGCCAAUCCAAACUUAUUCGAGAUUGGAUAAAUUAAGAAUAGAUCAAUGUUAGACAUGAAAGUUUUAAAGUCAAAAAAAACCUAGACUGAUUGAAGACAUCAAUUGUUUAAUGUUUUUCUAUCACUAUUUGAUCAAACCGGCCAAAUGGAGCACCGACCAGAAAAAUACAUUUGAUCUUUUUGGUCCAUGGAUAAACACUUACCUGAACCAAGGCCCGUGAACCUAAUUUGGGUUUAUCUCACUAUUACUCCUUAAUUUCCUUAAUAUAAUUAUUAUAACUAUUAAUUUCUAAAACUAAUUUAAUAUCUAUAGAACCACAAUAUUAAGACUAUACAUGACCCAAUAACAAUUCAUUAAAAAGUAUAUAAACCAAGAAUUUUUCAAUAAUAAUAAUGUAUUCCAAUUAAUUCAAAGUACAUAAAAAAUAUUAAUAAAAUAUUGUCAAAAGUCAAUACAUUUUCAAAUGUUCUCAAUUUACUCGUACGAUUUGUCAUUCUGAAUCUUUUGAUAUAAUUUUGUAUAUUUAAUAUUUCUUAUAUACAUAUGCAGACUAAAUGGUCGGGUUAAUAUUAGGUUUGAGUUUAAUAGGUCCAAACUCAACUUACAUUUAAUUUGAACUUAAUAUUUAAAUCCAAAUUCAACUUAGUCCAUGAAAGGCUAGACUACUUUUCAAACUUUUUCCUCAGCCAAAUGGGUUGAACUUGAAUUUCUUUCUUAAAAAAAAAAAGCUUGAAUUUAUCCGACCCUAAUGACAGUAGGUCUGUCAACGGGCCAGGUCCGGGCCGAAAUUCAUUAUUCCGGACCCGGACCUGGCAUACCAAAUCGGAUCCGGAUUCGACUCGUUUACCCGACGGGUUUUCUACUCUAUGUUCCGGAUCCGGAUCCGACGGGUCUCGGAUCCGGGUCCGGGUCUACCCGAAAAAAUUAUGAAAAUUUACAAUUUCUAAUAAAAAUGAGAAAAAAUAUAUUUGUACACUAAUUUCUAACUAAUACAAAAAAAAACUAAAUAAGAAAAUAAAUCAAAUUGACUUUACUCAAAUACAUCACCCUAAUCAAAUUAUAUUGAUAAAUAUACAUAUUUUAAAUUAUUAAUCCAUUUAUAUCCGGAUCCGGAUCUAAUACGGGUCGGAAUACUAUAUUCCGUAUCCAACCCAUUUUUUGUUUGACAAAACGGAUCCGGAUCCGAAUCCGGGUAACGAAAUUAAAUCUCUACCCAUACCCGUAAUAAUUUCAUGGAUCCGGGCCGGGUCCGGAUCGUUGACAGGCCUAAAUGACAGUUCUACUUGGUCAAACGAUCAAGACAUUUACUAGUUUCCAAGUAGUUCACCCAAAUUCUUCUUCUAAUAUACUACUACUUGCUUUUUUUCUUUGAAUUCGAAUAUUGAACCGUCCCCAACAACUCAUAUCAUAUUAGUAUUUGAGGUUGGAAUGUUAGAUUCCAUUCUUGCCAGUAAGUUUGACCGCCCGAAAAGGGCAACUCACAAACUUUAAAGCAAAGAAGCAAAGAAUUACUACUAAAAUCUUUCUUUAGCUCGUGGGGUUAUUGCACUUUACUCUAUUGUAAUAUUCUCAAUUUGCUCCUUAUUUCAAGUUUGACACGUUUGAUCCAUUAGACUUCUAUACUUUUAAAUCUAGUAUUGCAUGAUAUUAAUUUUAUUCAAAUCUCAAAGAUUUUAUUCUCAGGAUCGAUUCUGUCAAUCUUGAAAUUUAAUGUAAAAAAAAAAAAAGCAGAAGCACUAUGUAUAUAGGAAACUAAAUAUGCUAGAGAAAAAUAUAUAGCGAAACAUAGGCCGCGUUUGAUAAGUGAAUUUUUUGGGUUUUGUCUAAAACUUUACUGUAAUUUACUGUAAAAUUUUUUUAAAAAAAUUUUGAAAUGUGUAAAUUUUUAAUAUUUUGAAAUGUAUAUUUUAAAAAUUUUAAAAAGUUUUUUGAGGUUACUAUAGCUAAAAUUUUUUAAAAACUUGUAGCAGACAAACUUGGCAAAAAAUUUAAAUGCCAAACAAGGCCAUAAUCAAUCAAACCGAGAUUAUAAUGAACUUAUGUGAUUAUAACGAGGUAUUUCCAAAUAUACAAAAUUAGUAACGAAGUAUUUCCAAAUAUUACAAAUAUAUAGAUUGUUUUUCUUUUUUAAAAUCCAAAUAAAUGGUAAAUAAAUUGAGCCCCAUCCCCUUUUUUGGAAACUUAGCCCCAUGUCCAAAGUUUACCACAGGCUCACAGCACACUACUAUAGUCAAAACAGCCUGCUCCUCCGCGAAUCUCUUUUUAGUGGUACAUAACAUUACCACGCGCCAAUAGGCCUGUGAAAUCACCCCUUCAACCUUUACCUAUCUAUAGUACAAUCUGCUUGCUGUACAUCAAGAAAACCAGCCCCUUUUCUCUAAAGGUACUGUUCCUUCCUGCAAGAAGAGGAAAGAGAGCAGAAACACAACUGAAAUUACCCAAAACAAAACAACAGUAAACAAAAGAAAAAAUCAUUAGCCAUCAAAAUUGAACCUUUGAAGGCCUCAGUCUUUAAGUUUUAACCAUCCAAAGCAUCCAAUCAACCAUGGCAGAACAGAUUAUAGAAGAAGAACCCACAACUUUCCCACCUUCAACUUCACCUCCCUCGCAAAAUCAAGCCCAACAAGAGUUACCAACUCCAUCGAACACCUCCAUGCUUCUCUUAAGGAUUAUGAGCAAAAGAAGAACAUGGGUCUGCCUGUUUUUUGGUGUUUACACGGUUUUGUUAUCGCUUUCUUGGAAUUUCCUUAAAUCAGUUCUUGCUUGGUAUGAAACAACUUUGAUGAACUCUUCAUCAAGUUCAGCAUCAUCAUCAGUUUAUUCAGGUUGGCCAGCUUUGUAUGCAUCAGCUCUUUUAGGUGUGGCUUUUGGAGUGCUCUCCAUGGUGACAGCCUUGGCUGUGGCUGUUCCUGCUACUUUGGUUACUUGGAUUACUGUGCUGGUUUUGCUGACUUUUUGUGGGAAGCCCAGAAGGACUUUGGUGAUGGAAGGCAAGAAAUUGACUGCUGAUAUUACUGGAUUUGUAGUGAAGGUUUUGCUCAAAGAAGGGAAUAUUGUGGCCGCACUUUGUGCUGUUCUUGGAUAUUUUGCAUUUGUUAGGAGAGGCAAAGAAAAUGCUACUGCUGGUGACUAUUAGAUCUGACUCUAAACAAUAAUUUUUGUGCAUGUUUCCUUGACGAAAUUCAGAUGGUGGUCUUAGACUAUUAGGCUGGAUUCUGCAGAAUUAAUAUUUGUGGAUUUCUGUUACUUGUUGGGUGAAAUUUUGCAGAAAAGCAACACUUUUUCCCUUUUUUUUGUUGGGGGGGGGGGUUGGGGGGAUUUCUGCUGAUGUUUUAUGCUUUGUGCUACAGAGAAUGGAAAAAAGAAGGCAGAUAUGCCAUGUAAAUUCUUCAUUGCACUUAAUUUCUUUGUUCAUCUGGUUACAGUAGUUCUUUUUAACUACAUUAGUAUUUAGAACUGGACAGAUGUCUCUUUCUGGAAGUUAUGGUAGGAGCAAGUGAUUAGGUAGUGACAUGACCAUUCAGCCUUAUCUAAUUUCUUUGACAAAUUCAUAUGAUGUUCGGUGAUUGUUGUUUAGAAUAGAUAAAUUUGGGAAUUCUUGCUCCCUUCCCCACCACACCCCACACCCCCAAAAAAAAACACCCCCCAAGCCAAAGUUUAUGAGUAAGAGAAAGCUUAUCCUAACGAUCAAAAUUGGCUCUGGAAGAUUGACUAGCUCUACAAAAUUCAAUCCUCUGAAACUCUGUAGGGUUGGGACAUGAACUAGUUUGAAGGGGUUUACACAUAUCCGUUGCUAAAUACAGGCCUAAUUUGAUUGAGCUGUACCGGAUCAGAAAAGAGAUCACAAAAGCCCUCAGGACUUAUUUGGAUUUUUUUUUUUGUUCUUUUCAAAACGCUCUAAUUGUUUACAUUACUUAAGAGGCAUUUGAAUCUGUAAUUUACCGAUUAUCAAAAUAUAUUUUAAAUAUUACAAAAUAAUUGAUGGUUUACAAAUUCAAAUCCAUCUUAUCUUAAGUAUUUAAGUAAUUGGAGGAAUCAGAAAGGAUUUCAAAUCCUUCAAUCCAAACGCAAAGUAAAAUUAGUAGGAGUAUGUCUUUUCACUGGUCAAAAUUUUAAGCAGGCCUUUUGUCUCCGGGCCCUUAAUGGACGAUGUCUUGUAGUAUUUCUUUGUUAGAUCAACUAUCCUUGUUAAAGAUGAUUCCCUUGGCCCAUUAAGUGAGCUUGCAGACUAGAUACACACAUCACAUGGCUCUUUCAGCCGAAGUGCUAAUUUGGAAAGGAGGCUACCUGACUUUGAGCCCAAUGGGCUAGAUUUGGAUAGUAAACUAAGCAAGUUAAGAAAUUGAAUCAAGUCCAGUCCAUUUUUUUCAUUUUUAGGAAGUCAAACUCAACUCUAAUUAAUUUUUUCCUAACAAAUAUCGGACACCGUGAUGUCUAGUCUAGUAUUAAAUGGGCAAAUUACAUUUUAGCCCCCUGUGGUUUUCGAAAAAACCACAUAACCCCCCAUCGUUCAAAAAGCUAUACAUAAACCCCCUGUGGUUUGGGUUGAACUGGCAAAUAGACGGAAAGCAUCCACCGUAACGAUUCGUGGGCAAAACGCGCAUGUUCUUCUGGUAGCAGUAGGAAACAUACCCAUAUUACCCCUGACCAAUUUGACGUACCCAAUAAAGCCUAGAUGGGUGCUCCUCAUCUCUUUCCAUCUUCCGAAAUACUUUGUAGCUGACUUUGCACUGAAUGUUGGUGAAGGAACCCAAGAUAGAGAACGAAGGAAAUCUGAAGGUGAGUUCUAACAUCAAGGUGCAGUCUUUUCCUUUUCCUGAAAUAUGACUUGAAUGGAUUAUUAAUUUUUUUUCAAUAAACUAUAGAUGUCAUGCUCAAGCAGUGCUGGUGGAAGUACUGAAGAUCUAAGGUACCAAUACCUAUUUUGUUCAUGUGGGAGAAAAGCAGCGGUAAAAAUUGUUGAAUCUGACAAACCUUCAAAAGGAAAGCAAAAGAAAGUAUCUCAAUUAAUUUAAGGGAUAAUUUCAGAAACCUCCCCUGAGAGUUGGACGGGUAACUAGUGUGUCAGAGAGUUGCCAUAAUCUCCUUAAACCCGCAUGCGGGUUUAAAGAGUAUUCGGAUAUUCUCAUAUGCACCUAUGCAAAUCGAACCAAUCGGAUAUCUUAUCCGUAUCCCAUUUUUUUAAAUAAAAUCUUAUAAAUUUGAAAAAAUAAAAUCAAAUUUAGAUGUAUUAGGGUUUUAAAAAUAUUAUAUAAGUGAUAAAAAUUUUAUAAAUUGUAAAAAUAAAAUCAAAUUUAAAUAAUUAAAUGUUAUAUUUGCAUAAGAAAUAAUACAAUAAUCAUAAUAAUGAUAAUACAAUAAUAUUGGUGUAAUAAAACUGCCAUUAAUUUAAAUAUUUACUUAUAAUGCCCAAAGAGCCUAAUUACCAAUUUUUUCUUCUCGCGCUCAAAUAUAACAUUAACCCGUAUGCGAGCUAACCUUGAAAUAGAAAAAACACAGAAUCCCGCUUGCGGGUUUCAGUGUUAUUAUGCAGGCGGGAUUUUAACCUGCUUGCUUGUAAACAUGUACCACAUUGCUCUGAAAUUAUCCCUUAAUUUAACUACCAUUAUAGCUAUGCGGCAAGAGUUCAAGUAUAGACAAAUAAGGAGCAGUAAAGGUUCAGACUAAGUUCUAAAGCAAAAAAGCACACAUCAAAAGCCAAUUUCCAAAAGCCUGCAUUAGAAAUAGUGAAACACAUGAUAAGAAAAAAAAACACAAUCUGAUUAAGAAAAGGACAUUUAAUAGAUUACACACUUCAAUGAAAACACAUGAUUACAAAAAAAUACAAUCUGAUUAAGAAAAGGACAUAUUGCAUAUCGCAUACUUCCAUGGACCACAUGACGGCCAAUAAGCCGACAAGCAAAAAUUAUUCAAUGUCCAAAUUGUCAAAACUUUAUCAGCAGCCAAAUCACUCUAUAUUAUUGAAAAUCAAGCCACCCACAUUUGACCCAAAUCUGACACUAAUCAACAAAUCUCAAACUAACAAAGUCGUAUUCUACCCAUGUUUAGUUGAAAUUCCGGUGAUUUUAGAACUCCCGAAUGCAAUUUUCUUUACCCUAAUCUUAAUGCAUAAAUUCAAUUCUAGUCGAUAAAAUACUCUAUGCUUAAAUAUGAUAAUACAGAUUGUCCCAAAGCAGCAAAAUUUUAAAUUAAUCAACGCUUAAGCAAAAUAAUCAUUGAUUUAUUAACUUUCCAAUGCCCGCUAGUUUCUGUUCAAAAACCAUGCAAGUGCAUCUUAUAUGCUAAAAUGAUGUCAAAAAACUUACCAGAUGCAACAACAGCUUUCGUGAUGCUCUUUCACAGCUACUUUUUGGUCUUCAAUGGUAGAUCUUUGUGGGUUAAAUUUCUCUCCUUCAUUCGGUGGUCAUGUUUUUCUCUCCUUUUCUCACGACAAAGACAGAACAAGGAAGAAUCUGACUCAUCUGCUUCCUUUUGUAUUUAUAUUAGGGUAAUUUGGACAUUUUGCCACGAAUCGUUACGGUGGGUGCUUUCCGUCUAUUUGCCAGUUCAACCCAAACCACAGGGGGUUUAUGUAUAGCUUUUUGAACGAUGGGGGGGUUAUGUGGUUUUUGCGAAAACCACAAGGGGCUAAAAUGUAAUUUGCCCUAUUUUAAAGGCUUAAGAUGUUGGGAAUAUUUGAUACUCCCUCCGUUCCAUUAAAAUUGUUAAUUUUUUUUUAUUUUGAAAUGCCCUAAAAUGUUGUCAUGUUGAGAAAGUGAAACCAUUUUUUGUCUCUUUUCCAAGUAUAGUCCGUUUCUUUAAUUAUAUGCAUAUUAUCAUUUAAAUUCGAAAUUUGAAUUUUUGGAGAUAAGAUUGAAAAGACAAGUACAAACAUCACAAUAAAAUUGCUAUUCUUAAAAGUUGCAUUCCCGAUGCAUGACAAAAUAAUUGAGAUGGAAGGAAUAUAAGUCGAUGAUUGUUUUAGGGUCUAUUAUAGGAGAUAACAUAGAGUCAUACGAAGGUCAACAAAGAUUUACAAGACAUAAGCAAGAAUAGAAAAUGAGAGAUUUACAAGACAUGAGCAAGAAUAGAAUAUGAGAUAAGCUAGACAUGACACAUUUAUACUGGAUUUUAUAAUAACUCCUUAAUCUGCAAUGAAAGAUGAAUUUUGGUCCAUCCCUUAUCAUUUUGGACCCUGAUUGACACCCAAAAAAAAAAAAAAAAAAUUCAAUUUAUAAAAAAUAAAGGGGGGGGGGGAGUGUAACUAGUUCUACAAAAAUCAUAUUGAGAUUCCAUGAUUAGUAAUUUCCGGAUAAAAGAUACUAUGCCUGUGCUUUAAUAAUUUUACUAAGAGAUAUAUAGGCAUCCCAACCCAGAAAAGAGGGACAAAAUAUGAAAAAAAAAGAAGAAAAGCUAAAUAUGGCCAAAUUUUGUCUAUUUCUUAAAGAGAAGUGUUCAAAUACGCAAAAUCUUUCAAAUCUAAUCUCGCCUGACAUUCAAGACGGCAUAGAUUGAGGAGUCAUCAUAUUUUAUUCCCUCUUCACUUUCGUACACGUGCAGGAGCAUGAGCUAGACAAGCAUGAAACAUGGACCUUGACUUGCAUUUAGUCCCGAUGGAAAGGGAAUUGAUUGCUCAACAUUGGUCAUUGAAUUAAUUAAGUCAAUAUAUUGACAGGGACUAAAUUUAAAAAUUUUAAAAAAGGACUUAGCACGUAUAAAUCUUCUACAAUAUGCUUAACGCUAACAGUUGCUAGACCAUUUGAAAAUGUUAAAACAUCUUAACAAUUUCUAUACGGGUUUGGCUAACAGGUGUUCUACGAACGCUCAUCAAAAGAGGGUUUCUCAUGUGUUGUUAAUAUCUUGCAAAAUUGUGUUUGGAUAGAAGUUUAUUUGAAAUAAUUAUGUAUCACUGCUUGAGAUGUGAUCUAUGUUAGAUAAAAAAGUGGUUCAGAAAAUAAAAAAAAAGUGUAUUGGAAAAUACGUUUGCGAUGGAUGCAAGUAAGUAAUUUUUGUACAAGUAUUUAACUAUAAGGAGCACAAUGAACAUGAAUAUGUGCAUUCAUAUGAUAAAUCAAGUAUAUUUUAGACGUACUAAUGAGUACCUUCAGAUUACUUGUUAGAAAAAGAAAAAUCAUUUUUAUAUAUUUUUUGUCGAUAUCCAUAGUUUUAGGCUUAAUAGUCUAAUAUCCGUACUAACUAGCGAUUUUAUAGCAAAUUAUUUAAUUAGGGAUUAAUCAAGGAUUUGGCUAAUGAAUGCUCCGGAGCACUCAUUAAGAUGGUUUCAACUGCUAAUUUUUUUUUGGGGUAAAAGUGAAACUAAUUCAGAAUAAUAUAUAAAUGUAGGGCGGUGUGAUAAAUGUAAGUAUGCCUAUUCACAUAGUAAGUCAGGUAUAAUUUAUGUUUUAACAAGUAUUCCAUGAGUACUCAUUCAAAAAAUCUAUUAAUAAAAGUAAAGCUCCCGGCUACUCGUCACAAAAAAUGAAUAUAUUAGUAAAAAUAAUGCUCGCAGAUUCUGAUCUGCGGCGGUACCCAGGUCCAAGCUGCCCAGAUUUCACCGUGCACGAACCAAAGCUGGUUCAUCUCUACUAAACAAAAUGAAUAGGAAAGGGGAGCAAGGGAUGGGAUAUUAAAAAUGAAACAUAAGGUUCGAAGUUCCUGAUUUGUAGGUGAUGCAUUAAUGGAUAAUCUAACGAUGUUGAGUAACGCCAAAAUAUAUAGAUGUUACUUCUGACUAGUACUAGUUAUAUUUUUUUUUAUUACGUUCAAAAUCUACUCUUGGAUUUUUGGAUUGUUUUCAGCCUAAUUACAUUUUCAGCUUUGUUGAGAAAAUGCUCUCAAUUGUUGACAUGACCAAAAGCCCAAGAUCGUGGACUUCAAAAUAUUAAGCGACUUCUCAUCAAGUUAUCCUAUAUCAAAAGAAAAGAAAAAGUGGGAUCCUGCAUCAGGGCCAGAUGAAGUAUUUUAGUUGGAGAAUCUUGAAUUUUUUAAUUCCGUACCAAACUUGGAUUCAGGUAAAGGAUAAGCAAAUUAAUAUGCCAUCAUUAGGGGAGAUUGAAGAAAUAAAAUUCUUCAAAAAUGGAGAAAGGGCAUAACCCAUUCUUCAUUUGCCAGGUGCAAGUCGAGGACUAACCACCUAAUCUAAAAUGAGCAAGCAAGAACCAGAACCCUUCCAGUUUCUUUAUGGUUGCAGACUUUUAAUGGAGAGAACACAACUCGAUCUUGGAACCUUGGGCUGUGUAGUUUUCUUUCCCCAUUAAUGAGUUUAUCACAUACUCCCUCCCUUUUUUUAUAACUGACGUUUAAGGUUUUGCACACCAAUUAAGAAAAGUUUUUCAUUGUUUAAAUCUAUACACUACUUUCCUUUUGUACCCUCAUUAAUUGUCCAAUUCACCCAUGUUUUCUCUCACUAGAGUACUAAAUGGUGCUGUUUUACUAGACCAAAAGCAAUGCAAACUAACUAGGAGUAGUAAUUAAGAACCCUGUAUUGGAAAAGAGAGAUAAAAGGGUAAAAUUGUGAAAAAUAAUUAAUGCUGCAUGGGGAUAGUAAAACGACAGAUAAAAGUACUCAAGGGCAAAUUUCUUAAACGUCAGUUAUAAAAAAAGGAGGGAGUACUAAAUAAUGUAUGGUUUGUUUGACGAGUGGCCAUAGGGCAUUCGUUAAUAUAUAUUUCAGGUGUUAUAUUUUUAAAAAUAUAAUAUUAAGUAGGAAAAGUUGAUAAAUACAAGGCAGGGUAAGUAAAAUUAAAUAGAAAAAGUAUAUAAAUAUAAGAGAGAAUAAUAAUUAUUAGUAUGUAUAUAUGUACGAUAGAUUAGGUGAUACUAGGUAUAUUAACGAAUGUCCUAAGGAUUCAGAUAGAAAAUCCCAAUAACGUAUUGAAAAGUAAAAGCAUCAUCAAAUUCUUAAUCUUAAGGCUUCAUAGGUCUUAUCAAUGUUGGUGUAAUCAUAUUAUUGUGUGUCCUACCUUUACCCCUAAUAAUACUAACUUUAGAAGGAUAUCAACACGUUCCUUUGUAGGAGGUGCAAACUAUUCGGACAAGUUUCUUUUAAUUUGAGAAACUUCAACAAGAUGGUAAACUCAUAUGCAGUCUAAAAAGGUUAAUUAAGUUAGAAAAUGAUCGUGUCUGCGUUGUGGUGAUCAAGAAACAUAAUUAAAAGGGACAAUUAAUAUUCUAUCCCACUCACAGGACGAUGAUAUGCACUAUAAUGGUACCUCAGCAGGUUUUUGACUGAUUUGCCUUUCUUUCGGAGUAUUUGGUGUCAUAAUUACACCUUAAUUGCUCUCAUCAUCUUUGAUGAUUUGGAGCAGCUAACUGAGAAAACGAAUGAUGGUCUACUUUUAGUUGGUUAUUUCCGUAAUCAAUUUGCCAAGUCAUCAGUUUCAAUUUUGGUUGAAACUUUGAAACAGUUGUUAAUUUUUAUAUUUAAAUUAUUCAUAUUUGUAUAAAUUCACAAUAAAUAAAAAAAACUGUGCUAAGGCAUGUGUAAAAUUCUAGUUGCUAUAAUAAAUAUGAAUUUUAGACAGGAACGAUUGCAGUAACAGUAAUGGUUUUUGAAAGGUUCACGAUUUUGAUCGCUCAAGAAAAAAAAAUGUAUGGCUCAAAUUACAAAAUAUUCAUUGUUUUUAAUACUAUGUGUGGAGUGUACAAAAAGAUUACUAAAUUUAUAUUGUAUUCAAAUUGAUUUACGUUGUGAACAAAUGCAUUUACGUUUUAUUGAAAUGCAUGAUACACUUUCGAGCUCAAUAAUUUCUAUUGUUACUGAACUUUUUAAGUUUUUGGAGACCUGAAAACUUUGGAAAUUACAAACUUCAAAUGGUUGGUGGAGUUCUGCUUAGACGUCAAAGGAGAAACUAAUUGCAUUUGGUAAGGUGAAGAAAGUACCAUAUUUUACCUCUGCAGGAUUUGACUAUAGAAAAAUUCUUUAGGGGUUGAAAUGAGGUUUCAGUUAGUAUUUUAACAAGAAAUACACACACACAUAUAUAUAUAUAUAUAUAUAUAUGUAUCUUAAUUUACACCAAAAAUAGAGAUAUUGUCUUCCUCUUCCGGAAGCUGAAGAAACUAAGGGAAAAUUAUUCCACAACACACACACAAAUAUACACACACAUUCAUAGGUUAUAAAGGAAAGAAACUGUAGACAUGAUACCUUACUAUAUAUAAAGCAACGUGGAGAGUUUGGCGUAAACAAAUUGAGUCAUUUAAUAUAUUACCUAAUUUAUUUUUAUUUUUAAAAAUAAUUAUAUCAUUUCAACUACUCAUUUCCAAACAACCACUCCACAUCCACUAAAAUUAACUAUCAUUUUUCUAACAAAAAACUACAACUUCACUAUAAUACAAAAAUAGUUUAACUCCUUUAAACUACUAUUUUACAACAAAAAACAAAUCAAAUAUUUUUAAUAUAUUUUUUGUUAAUUGCAUACGUAUUAGGUGUGCCUCAAGCAUUAAUAGUUUAUAAAGUAGCUAACUAAUUAAGCAUCACUAUUCUUUUUUUUUUUUUUUUUUUUUGUCGACACAGGGGCGUCCGGGUCAAUCCUUACGGGACCCGACUAAUCCCCUGCGGCCUGGGCCUUGGCGCCCCCCCCAACCCGACCAAGCACGGUAAGCAUCACUAUUCUAUUCCAAAUAAAUAUAGAUACUUCUUUUUUCUUUUAACAAAUAUAUAUAUAUACUUCAAGAUAUAUCAUUGUCAGCCAGAGUUGAUUAACUGAUUUUUCAUUGUUAUAUGGUUGAUAAUGCCAUUGAAUACGGAGCAUAGACCCUUUUACAUUAUGAUGCUGAUAGAAAUGGUUUUAUGCUGGACAUGUAGCGGAUCAUACGGCAGUUAAGUCCGGUCUAUCAAAUUACGAUGAAAAGAAUAUUAAACAAGUCAAAGAGAGAGAAAGGAAAAGAACUGAGAAAGUGAUGGAAACCAUAAAGAGGCGCACCAAUUAAGCCCAGAAUCCAGAUCUCACAUGGGGAUCAAGACUUGGGUCAUCUUUGAAACCCUGCUUUGAAGGCAAGUCCUUUGAAGUUUCAGGUACAUCUGGGGGAGAAUUGGUGCAAUGGCCCUAGAAGUUCUACAAAAUCUCAUUUUAGUUCUCAAAAUUAGAAUUAGAGUUACCAAUUUCCAAAAAUCAUAUGCAAAUUAGAAAAAGCAAUAGGUGUCAAAUGUGUCGUCAUAUAUCGACCACAACCAAAACAAUUCGACCGACUCUGUCAAGCAUAACUUAUUUAGAGUUUAUAUUUGUUUAUCAAAAUGAGCAUCCACAUAGUCUAUUACUCGAUCGUUCUUGCUAGUAAUUUAGCAUCAAUUAUCACAUCAUGCAUCACAAAUAGACAAACAUUUGCAUUUUGCAAAUAUUUCCCAAGGUGCAAUCUGGGACAACCGUGAUGCACUUUGAUCUAAAAUUUAAGGGCCAAAAUAAAAUGCUCUCGAAACUAUAAGGUCAGUUAUGACGAUAAUUUAGCAUGUCGGUUAACUAUGUUGACGGUGCAACAACUGUUCUGCAACUAAAGCUUAAAAGUCCUUCCAAAGACAGUAUAUGUUCUUUUGCCCAACUAACAAGUAGAGUAUCAAAUGGGCACAAGCAAAUAAAUGACAAUCCGUAAGUCCUCUGAUAAUAAAUAUGGAGAUAUUCUUGACAAUUAUAAUCUAAUAGUACUAAAUUAAGAUGCGAGGCACGUAUCACCGUUGGCCCAUCACUGUUUCUAUAAACCUAUGAUUUAUUUCAUAGUAAAUUAAUCUCAAUAUAAAGCCUGAGUGUUCAAGAGCAAGGGAUCUAAUCUAACUAGGUGAAAUUUGACACUACAUUGCACCUCAUGUCCAACACCAACAGAUGCUUGUCCUUAAUUUUUGACCGGACUUGGGAUAAUGGGGAACAUGUUAGGUAUGCUUUCCCUACCUCUCUCCUAUAUAGUCUAAGUUUCAUUUUCCCAACCAUCUCUUUUAACCUUCCAAUGGUUUAUUCCCCCUACUAGUAACAGGGAACCGAGGCCGAACCGCCAAAGUGAUCAAUUAGUCAUUUCUUCAACCCAACUUUCCCAGGAUACAAGUCACAGAGGGGAAAAGAAAAACCAUGAUUCAGUCUCAUGUGAGCUUCUGAAAUUUAAAGCCCCAUUUAUGAUUCUUGGCUUUGGUUAUCUUCCAAGUGAGUUUUGAGGCACCCUUUUUGGGAAAGAGAUCUGGGAUUUCUUCAAAAUCUUGUCUUUUUCCGUGGAGUGUAAAAUUGUGGAAGUUGAAGAGGCUUCAGGGAUCAAAGAGUCAUAUAGGCCGGUGGGAUUUCCAUAAUUUGUUCAUUGGAGCUAAGAAAGUUUCCAUUUUGGCAUUUAUUACGCCAAGAUUUAGUUGAUAUUGAGGUGGAAAGCUGUUCAAGAAUCAGUUUUUACAACUAGAGGUGCUGUGGUGGUUCUGUUUUUGAUUCUUUUAUGUCAUGGUUAAAUCAUUUAUGAGCAGAAUGCUAGCAGGAAAUGGCCUGCUAUAUCCAAUUCUUGGCUUUGCAUCGUGUAUUGCUUUCAUAUAUUUGUCAUUUGGGGACCUUUGGAUUAAUUUCAAUACAGAAACAAAGCUGAGUUUUGUGGAGAGGAAUGGGACUCACUUCUUUCUGGAUGGUAGAGUUUUUCACAUUAAUGGUUGGAAUUCUUACUGGAUGAUGGACCAUGCUGUGGAUGAACAUAAAAGACCUAGGGUGAAAGCAAUGCUGCAAGUUGGAGCGAAGAUGGGAUUCACUGUUUGUCGGACUUGGGCCUUCAAUGAUGGUGAUUACAAUGCUCUCCAGAUUUCUCCUGGUCGAUUUGAUGCAAAAGUUUUCAGAGUAAGCGAGUUUUGUUUCAUUUAUUGAAUUUUUGCAUUUGUUUGAUUUAGUCACAUAGUGUAGCCUUUUCAGGAUUUGAGCGUCAUAAUAAUUGCUUACCAUUGAUCUGUGCCUUUUUGCAGAUACUUUUUAUCAAUCAAAUCAUUUUACUAAUUUAUUGGAGCUAUGACUAGCUUGAGAAUUUUUCUUAAUUAACUGCGUAGACGUGAAAUCUAAAUUUCUAAGCUUUUAUUUGAACUAUGAAAAGAAAUGUGUAAACUUUGUAGGAUUAAUUUGACGACCCCAAAUUUCAGCUGAUUCUGGUUCACUGAACAAUUUUGUCUGCUCAUUUUACUCUUUCGCACUCUUGAAAGCCAAAACGUCUAACCUAGUGAACUGCAAUCUGUUAUCGCCUUUUCAAACUACUGAAAACUUGAGAAAACACUGAAGUUGAUGUCAUGAUUUUUUUCCUUCUGAUUAAGCUUUUGAUAAUUUCCAUGGCUUCUGGGAUAUAAGCAUUUAUAUUUGAAUUAAAUAACCAUUAUUUUUUAUUUCUUUGGUAUUAAUUUCUUGACAAAUGUAGCGUCAUAUUUUUCACUUUCGCGUUUACAACUUCAUUGACUGCAUGAGCUGUGUUAUUGUAGGCCUUGGAUCAUGUAAUAGCAGAAGCCAGACGACAAGGAAUCAGGCUUAUCCUUUGCUUAGUCAACAACUUGAAAGCAUAUGGUGGAAAGACUCAAUACGUCAAAUGGGCGUGGGAUGAGGGUGUUGGUAUAAGCUCUUCUAACGAUUCUUUCUUCUACGAUCCAUCCAUCCGUCAUUACUUCAAAAACUAUGCCAAGGUAACUUGUCAGUAUUCCUGUGUCAUGUUUGAGUCAAUUCUGUUCAGAAAGCUUGAAUUUCUUGUCUUAUUAGACGGCAGCUGAAAAUUACAUCACCUAUUAGGACUGUUUUAGUUUGAGUUUCCAGUCCAGUUUGUCUUGAAUUUCUUGUCUUAUUAGACAGCAGCUGAAAAUUACAUCACCUAUUAGGACUAUUUUAGCUUGAGUUUCCAGUCCAGUUUUCUUCUGUACAUCAAAAGGUGCUCUUGUUCGGUGCCAAAGUUCAUAUGACAGUACUCAGACAUCAUUAUUUUGUUGUUUUAGAUCAAUCCAUUUCCCAGAACCAACAAAAAUUUGACAGCACUCCUGAGAAAUGGCAAAAAAGAUUGUUUUUUUGACUCACUGUCUUUUCAAACGCAAAAACUUAUUUGAUUUCUUCUGAUCUGGGGCGUGGCCAAGCGGCUGCCGAAGAUGCAAGAAGAAACGAUGAGACAUCAUGAGUUUCUGCCUAGUGCCUGUGGUGACAGUUAGUGAACGUAGCAUUAUUUAGUUUUGUGGGACACCUUUACAAUGUUAUAGGUAUUUUAUGAGACAAUUUAGAUUGAAAAAUAAAAAUCAAAACUUGUACGAAUCCUUAAUGUGUUUCUGAAUCAUUGAUGCUGUAAUAAUAAUCACACAAUCAUAUGACAGUAAUUAAGUAUUUUAAGUCAAUAUAUUGACAGUUUUGCAAUUUUGUAAUGAGAGUCCUUCAAUUUUUCUUUAUUUCUCCGAUAAUAGCCUAUAAUAGCACAAAUUUUCUGAUUACAGCUCCAACAAUGUCCCAGAAUCUUCUCAGAAACUGGAGUUUUAAUCAGUAAAUAUCAGCUAAUUGGGUAAAAUGAUAAAAAAUUUUCUUUUAACACAGUUGGCCAGCGACAAGUAUUUGUAUUUUUUGUGCAGGAAUACGACGAUGUAACUAGUUUAACUCGUCUUUACUAGUAAAGAUACUAACUUAAAUGUUUAUUGCAAUCUCUUUGCACUGGCUUAAAUGAUAGACUAAAUAUAUGCGUAUCAAUCUAUUAAAUAAUGCAUAGUUUUGUGAGUUGGUCCUUGUUCUUGCUUGAAUAUUUGCAGCUGCUCAAUAAUGGUCAUGCUUCUUUGUCAGCAAUAUAAAUUAUGAAAUAAUGUUGUUACUGUAAAUUCUAUCAUGUCUCGUAAUUUCUAUAAAUCUUUCUCUUUCCAGACAGUUCUUACAAGAAAGAACACAAUCACUGGAAUUGAGUACAGGGAUGACCCUACUAUACUUGCAUGGGAAUUAAUUAAUGAACCCCGCUGCAUAACUGACCCUUCAGGUGACACUCUCCAAGUAAGUCUUUAGUCGCAUCCGCUGCUUUGAAUUUGUGUGUUGAUGAUGGUGUAGUCCAAAAACUAUACCAAGUGAAUUACAAGCAUCCUGUCUUUAUUAGCUUCAAUUGAUUUCCUGAACUCUUCUGGUCUGGAAUUCUGCAGUUUGAUGUAUAUAUUAUUUUGGCAGUAGUUAUAGUGUUUGACACAUUGUAGUGACUCCUGGCAUUAUUUUUGUAUGCUUGUGAUGAUCAAACUAAUAAAAGACAUUACUAUUUUGUUGCUAACUUGCUAUUACUGUGAUCAUUUUAGUAACUCCUAUCCCUUAUAGCUUAAAUUGAUUACUUAAUUCUUCUGGCCUGGAAUUCUGCAGUUUGAUUUAUAUAUUAGUUUGGCCAGAAUUUAUGGAAUUAGACCCAUUUUAGUGACUCUGCACGUUAAUCAAUGUAUGCUUGUGAUGUUCAAACUAAUUACUACAAGCUAUUACCAUGUUGUUACCACGACCAUGAUACAUUAACUUAUCUUGCUUGCUCAAUGUGUGGCACAUGCUAGUUUUUCUGCUUAUUUACGCUACAACUGGUUUGUGACUACAUAAGCAGUUUUAACUUCUGAUUAUUUCUUUAGAUACCUAAAUCAUCAGAUUCUGUGGAACAUGGUGCUGAGAACUAGUUGUUGCCUGCAAGGCAAGUUUAUGUAUCCAUAGUCUGUAAAUUUUCUAGACUUGGAUACAAUUUUUCUACUAUCUUUCCAGAAUGCCACUAAAAAAUUUACAAAAUAUCCAUCCGCUCGGUCAAAGUUUCAGAUAGCUUUUAUUUUAUUUUCCAAAGUCAUUUGGAUGAAGGAGGCAUUUUCUUCACUGAUGUUUCUGCUAGUUAUGACUUAUUGGCCCAUGGGGGAAGUUCUCUUAGUCCAGAUGUUGAUCUUUUCUCUUCAUAAUGAUUACUUUUAUGUCAUAAAAAUGCAGGACUGGAUUGAAGAAAUGUCAACUUAUGUAAAAUCAAUUGACGGGAAUCAUCUCAUAACUGUGGGUCUUGAAGGAUUCUAUGGUCCUAAAAGUCCAAAAAGGUUGACUGUCAAUCCAGAAUUUUGGGCUGCUGAUCUGGGAUCUGAUUUCAUUCGCAAUUCCAAGAUCUCAACCGUUGAUUUUGCCUCUGUCCAUAUUUAUCCUGACCACUGGUAAGCUCCUACUGGUAUUGCAUUUUAAGCUCUUUUCAAAAAUCUCUUGAUUUCCAUUUCCCUACUGAAGUCACCUUGAGGCAGAAGCUGUGAACCUUGGUUGUUUUCUGGGUAAAAAUUUGAGAAUAAGUGAAUGGAGAAAGCUUUGAAACUGCAAUUGGAGUCAUAUGGCCUGGGACAUAUCCGGUUCUUUCCCGUCUGUACAGAGAUUCAAUGCCAUUUUGGGUUCUUGUUAGCCGCAUGUGCUAUAUUUAACUUGAUAUUUUCAGACAGCUACAUUUUUUUUAUUGGUUAGCUUCAUUUUCUUCUCAUGGAACAAAUGAUUUAAAACCAUGCUAUGGGUUACUUAUUUGUAGGUUCCACGAUCAAGCCUUGAAGAAAAACUCAAAUUUGUUUCUAAAUGGAUGCUUUCUCACAUUGAAGAUGGUGACGGAGAGCUGAAAAAGCCUGUACUUUUUACUGAAUUUGGACUGUCAGACGAAAACAAGAAUUUUACGCCGUCUCAAAGAGAUAAAUUCAUGAAACUUAUUCUUGAUAUCAUCUACAAGUCUGCAAAAAGACAAGGCUGGGGCAGGAUCCUUCGUAUGGCAAUUCUUUGUUGGAGGGAUGGAAAAGUACUAUGACGAUUUUGCAAUUGUUCCGUGGGAGAGGCCAUCAACAUAUCAGUUAUUUACACGACAAUCAUGUAAGUUAGCUGCAAUUCAAGGAGUUUUACCUUCACAGAAGCAACACUUGAAAGAUUUCUGUUCGCAUAAACAAUGAUCUAAACAUUCGCUUCUUAAGGAAUAUAGAAGAUAAAAAAUACGUCUGAAUUUCAUUUGGUAACUUCACAAAUGAAUGCCACAGGAGAAAUGUGGUCUUUCUUUUGUCACUUCUCCUUAGUCUAUAUGUAGUAGGCGAGCUACAGGCAUUUAGUAGUUGUGCACUUUACUCGCACUCCAUUUCUGUAUAAUUUUGGAGUGUAAUACUUUCUGAUUCUUUUAUGCAUUGUUGAUAAUUUGAUAUUCAGCUGACUAAGAAUGUGGCCAAGUGAGAAACUAACAAUCAACGAGCAGUAUACCUUCUAACGAGCAAAAUACUUGUUGUAUACAUACAUCUGUCGGUUGUUUGUUUGAUAUAACAUCGUAUCUGAUCCGGUGGUGACUAGAAUCAAAAUCAUUCAAACUUUUUUGUUACAAAAAAGAAAAAACAAAAGGCGUUGUACUGUUUUUUGUACGCGCUUUCUUGUGUAAAUUAUAUCUGUACUUAAAAAACCAGUUCUGACAAUAGUGUCAGAAUAUUUGGAUACCACACCAGUACAGCAAGUUUGACAGAGCAGAAAUUACACCCUUUUUCCUUCGAAUUUUGUCUCUAAAUUUGCCUCAACAGUGGAGGCUUGCCAGUUAUUUUGCUCAUUGCUAAGUUGGCCUUGGAUAGUUAGGGUACCAUAACUGCAACAAGAAAGCAACUUCUUCUUGUUGUAUGGAUGAAUGGCCAAUAUUGUUAUACCGACAAAAUCAUGAAAAGGGGUCUCAUGGAUCAUCAGAUAUAUUUGUGUUGCGUGGAAGAAAAGCAGAUAAAGUGAGAACCACACAUUUUGAUAUAAUAGUGCUGCAACUGCAGCUCUCCAGCCCGGAUUCGCUGAAACUUUUGGGGUCUUAAUCUACAAACUCAUGCCAAAAUGUGAGCCACAAGGCUCACUUUAUUUGUGCUUCUCAAGAUAAUCAUAUAGUAAUUGAUUACCUUUGCAAAUGCGCCAAAAAAAAAAGUCUGUUCUACAUCGGAAAUUCCAAAUCCACUAAGGCCUAAAUCAUUAUUGUAAUCCUUUGUGGUCCAUCCAUUCCUACAACAAUCGAAAUUUUAUACUGUCAUCUUUGAAUGUUUACUCUUUUUUUUUAACUUUUUUUUUUUUUUUUAUCAAAUGAGGAGGGGAGUUUAAGAAGGAAGGAAGGAAGGAGAAGCAGAAGUUGAACUUAAAAUUUCUAAUUUUUGAAAUUUCUACCUUCGUUAUCUAUGAAUAUUUGCUAAUUAACCAAACACAACAAUAUUUUAAAACAUUAAUUAGAGGUUUUUUUUCUCUUCAGUUGACUCAUAUAAUAUAGCAGUCAAAACAAACGGGCUUGAAACUGAAUUCAGGAUCAAUCAGAAUUGUAUUAAGCCCACAGCAUUUGAUAAACUCUACCUUGAAUUUCUGAGGAAUUCAUCCAUGUUACAAAACCUUGGAUAAGGCAUGGAUUAGGAGCAAAUUUUCUUCCAUACAAUAGGACUUUAUGCGUUGGAAAUAAGUAAAAGAUGGUCCAUCUCAUAAGUUUUAGUAUUUGGUAGAAAUAAGCUCUGAGAAUUUUCUUCCAAGUUCAACUCUAUUGAUACAGAUACUAACUACAUAAGCAUGAAAUCUUUGUUUCUAUUCUAUUCUUUAGUUCUUAUUUUUUUUCUAGAGGUUUAAAGUCUUCUUUAAAUGUAAAAGAGAGGAAACAAAACUCUUCGAUUUUCCAAAGACAUCUAGACUUCAAGUCUUCUUAUUACAGUUAGAAGUUGGUGGCAUGUUUACAUCCUCAGGAAAAUCAUCAUUCCUGGAAAGAUUCUAAUGUUAAUAUUCAAUGUAGGACAGAUGUAGAGUAUCUGACUUGUGGUCUCAUUUUCCUGAUAGAAACCCAAAGCUGAAAACGAUUUAGAAAAUAAAAACCUAUGGCCGAAAUUGGAAACAGCUAAAGAAUAAAUAGCUUUAGAACCUAGUUAUAUAUAUAAAAAAAAAUGAAAUUUGAGUAUAAAUCUUAGAAAUCUAUACCAGUUGGCUUCUUCUAGAUUCAAAAUGUGAAUCAGUCCCCGUCCAAAAUGACUUCAUAUUAUGAGUUUGUAGGACAACUUUGCAAGAAACCUCUAAUCUAGAAGUGGUACUCUGAUUUCAUAUUUGCAUUAUUGUUAGUCCAAGUUUGAUGGGUCAGUAUUUAUGUCUUUCUUCACUAAUCUGCAGAUUUCAAACGAGUAUGAUGAUGCUGAUGGUGAUGGGCCUUAAUAAUAAUGCUUGUUGACGGCAAAAUAAGUAUGAGAAGAAAAAAUGAAUUGAUGAUAUUGUUUUAAAUAAUUGGGGUAUUGGUGCAAGUUAGAAAGCGUAAAUAUUUAUAGUACUGCAAGAAACAUUUGAUAUAGUCAUCUGUCAAACUUGUCAGGCUUCAAGAAGUUUUAAUUAAUCUGUCCAUGACUGAUAAUUUAGUAUAUAGUCUUAUGUGGAAAUUAUCCCACUUUCACAGGAACAUACGUGUUCUUUUGAUUCAGAAUAAAAUAAAACCUGUGUCCUUUUUUUUUUAAGGUAAAAAUUUGAAUGGGCUCGACUCUGAUCAUCACCACGAAUCGAAACAUGAUUUCGAAACAGUAAAUCGUUUACUGAGAUUCUUAUAAAUCAUUCACCAACACAGUUGUCAGAGUUGGCUUACACGUAUCCCCUCUACGUUAAUGUAUCUUUAGUAUUCUCUUCGUCCCACUUUGAUAGUCCUGUUCUUUUUUUUUUUACACAGUUUAAGAAAAAGUAGUUAACUUUGUUAGAACAAUCAAUUUAGGUAGUUAUUUUCCUAAAAUACCCUCACAUUAAUUAGAGUAUAACUUUAUGAGAACUUGAAUUGAUGGUAAAAAAAGAAUCAACUUUUAUUAAAUGGGGUAGGUUUAUAGUAACAACAACUUACAUUGAAUAAGGGUAUUUUAGGAAAAUUAAAAUAUAACUACAUUCUUCAAUUGGAAAGUGGACUAUAAUUUGAGACAGACAAAAAAGGAAAACAGGACUGUCAAAGUGGGAUGAAAGGAGUAUUAUUUUGUGCAUGACUGCAACUAUGGACACACAUUGGACCGGACCGGAACCCAGCCUUAGGCAGCUUAUGACCACAAAACAGGAUUCUAUGUAUUCUGUUAUGAAUAAAUAUGGUACCACAAAUGAAAUCCUCCUUGCACAACUACUGAUGGACACCUUUUAAGCUAGGUUGUUGCAACCACAAGAAACUGACGCAAGUUCUUGAAUCAUUCACUCCUACUAUUACAAUUCCUCCAGGAAUUGGUAAACUUUUUUCAACUUUUCUCGCUUUCCUAUUACAACAACUGCAGGCCAUAUAUGCUGACAAAUUAUAAAGAAAAUGAUUUUUUUUGGUGACGCAGGGAUAUCCCAACAUUUUUGCUGGACUAAUCCCCUGCGACUGUACAGAGCCCCGUCCAUGGAUGCACAGUAAUAUUAGCAUAACAGGAUUCGAACUGGUGACUUACGGGAUGCUAUCGUAUGUGAUCACUAGCGGAGCUCCCUGAUGGGAGCAUAGAGAAAAUGAUUGAGUACUAGUUUAGAUUUGUGUAAACUGUAAUCAUGGCAUUCUUGAAACAUCACCCAAGUUCAAUCAUUAUUUUGUUUUCAUUGAAUCAAUAUGUGCAGCUACAAAAAAGAAAAAAAAACACUGAUAUAGUACUGGAAAAAGAUAAACAUUUCACAUAUUAGUGGUAACAAAAUUAGAUAAUCUAAAUUGAAUUGAAGCUGCUGCAAAGAUAUAUUUAUAUUUCUUCUCAUCUUAAAGCAAAUUUGAAUUCACAAUUCAAAUGCUUAAUUACUAAUUAAUCAUUUGAGCUAUCGUCUUGUCUGUUACUAGAAAAAUUCAAAAAUUGAUUUAAAUUUUAGUGGAAGUCUAUGAAUUAUGAUCGGUUAGAGUGUUAAUGGGAAUUUGUCCUAAUCGUGCCUUAAGUAAGAUGUUGGAUGCCAUGAUUAGGAUGCACUUGGCUUAGAGAAUUGCUAACCUUAAAACUUAGAAGGCAGAAAAAAAAUAAAAGAAGCUUCCUCUUUUAGUCAAAUGAAGAAGCAAAAAAUAUAAUAAGAAACAAUUACGACUUAGUGUUCAAAGUUGAGGACCUCGUCAAAGUAUACGUACGUCACCUAUCACAGCUGUUCCUUCAACCUUAUGUUCCCAUCAUCAAAUAAAUUUUUUCAACAGUCAAACUGAUUUAUCAUUAGAAGAAAACGAAGGUUUUAUCAUUAGAAAACGUUAUUUUUGUUUUUAGUUCUAUCUAAGGGUUUAUACCAACGUUUUACAAAGCGACUUAGGAGUUGAAGGGUUGGAAGACGGUGGAAAUUGUAUUCCACAAGUUGAGUACGUGGAUCAAGUGGACAACAUAAAAAUCCCACCUCACAUUUGAAGUCAAACCACAGAGCUCAAUUGCUGUUUGAAAAUGGAAAUUGGUGUUGGCAUUUUCUCAUUGAAAUAUCAACCCACUUUAGCAAUCCCACUCCAAAAUUUUCUUCAAUUUUUUGUCCACAUUAGACCCCAUUAUAUUUUCAAGGGCAAAAUAUAUGGUGGAUUCUCGACCUAUUAACGUUGUACACUUUUAGCCAUUCAAUUAUUAUUCAUAUAUUUUUAGCCCUCUUAUUUUAAAAAAUGUAAAUUUCUAGCCCUUUUGUCGAUUUUAACAUUUAGUCCUAACGAAAUCUAUCUCAAAUUGAUAUAAUUUUGAUUAUCUUCAAUCUUCCAAUUGCAUCUAAUCACCAUUGCAACUACUACAUGCAAUGAACAACCAUAGAUUGUUAUUGACUAAUAAUUGACAACUAUUAUAGUGUUGUUAAUAUUAGAUGAAAUUACAUUUUUAGAAUCUGUUUUUUAAUUAGAUUCCAAUUCUAAACUUCUAUGAAUCUUGCUAGUUAUGAGUAAAUUUUGCUUGUGUAUUGUGCAUGACGUAGUUUGUGUUGGUUUUAACAUUUCGAAUGAACAAAAGGGUUAGAAAGAUACGCUUUUAUGAGUUAGUGGGCUAAAAAUAUACAAAUAAUAGUUAGAGGGUUAAAAAUAUACUGACUUAAUAAUUUGAGAGCCAACCAGACAAUUUGUCCUAUUUUCCAAUAAAGUAGUGUAUCAUAUAUGCCCACCCUAUUUGGUUCUAAGGACCAAAACAAGAUUCAUCUAUCUAUGGUAUACCAAUAAACUAGAAACAGAAAAAAAAAAUGUUUUUUGGGGUUCUGGUUACAGUUGAUCGACUAGGUACUGAAGUCCAAAAAUGACCAAUUGAAUGAUAGGACUGACCUUUCCAAGUGUGGGACGCUUAGUCUUAGGAUUGAACUACCAACAAUUGAAAUUGCCGAUGAAUGGUUGCUCAACUAAUAUAUGGUGUACCAAUUGGUCGCUUUGCUGUUCUGAUUGGAAAUGUCAAAGAAUUAGAAAACAGCAGGUAAAGAUAAAUAAAAUCUAAUAAUAAGAAUUUUAUUUUCAUCGACAUCAAAAGUGUGUAAUGCCAAAAGUUGACGUAGAAUUGGUGCAGAUACAAAAAAAACCAUCAUGUUUUUUGGUUUCGAUAUUACAAAUUGAUGUUUCUUGCAUCAAUUGAUGAUGGGUUUUUGUAACUAUUUCAGCCAAAAUACUAGGGUUUAAGUCUUGAAUCUUCAUGCAUCGAUUAUCAUACCUUGAACUAUUUUUCUUUAAUUUUUUGGUGAUAUCUAGGUAAUUGUUUCAUUAGUAAUCACCACAAGAUUAUUACCCCCUUCAUAGGUAAAACUUGAAAGCGAAGCUAUACUAUAGAAAAGAGACGCAGAAAGCGAAUGAUGCUUCAUGCCGACUUUAAAACUAAUCAUACUAUCACUGUUUAUCUCGUUGUCAGGUUUCCAUUGGCAUUGAUUCGACUGUAUAACAGAAACGAACAAGCUUGACUCAUCAACUUAGCCAUUUACAUUCCUUCAAAAAAAAUUAGUUAUAUACAUUAUCAAUCAAACAGAAAAAAAAAGAAAAGAAAGAAAGAUACAUGAUCUCUGUACUGAAAUUCUGUAUGAUUGUAAACCCUAAGGAGGUAAUUCAGGAAAACCUCCUUACCAUGGGCACAGGAAAUGAAACCUUUUGAAAAAA